UUUUUUUUUUUGGGUUAUGUCUUAUAUAUGCAUGUAAAGAUAGAGGACGUAUAUAUGCCUACAAUUUUAUUUUCAGAAGAAAAAAUUGAAGACCGAUCGGGAGAGAUUCAAAAUAGAUGCUUGUUGUGCAUCUUUGAUUUUUGAUUCAACAUGUCUCUCCUUAAUUAAUCUAACUUAAUGGCAUGUUUACUAAUCUGUAAUGAAAUUGAGAGUGACGAAAUUGAUUCCGGAAUGAGUGAAUUUCGGCGAUUACUAACAUGUCAAGGUAUUAUAAUGGGUAUAGGUCUCACUUGCUUAUCAGGAAUCGAUUCCUUAUAAAUUUCUUAAUUUGAGAGAUGGGUAUAUCAGAAUAAGAUUAUGGAAUCAACUUUUUCUCCUUAAAAUAUCCUCACAUAAUUAUAAUAUUUUCAAAUUACCCAACCUUAAAAAAUUGCAAACAUUUUAGCUUCAUUUCUUGUAAGGUAUUUUAAUAAUCAAACUAGUUUUAAUUCUGAUUUCAUAUGGUAAGUAAACAACAUAAAUCGUAAUUAGUUUCAUUCCUGUUUUGAUUUCUAUGGUAAGUAAACAGUAUAAUGGAAUAAAAUAUUCUUAUAUUGAUUAUUGUUGAUACAUAUUCAUGAUAAUUUUCAUUCUAAGUUAGUAAACGUAACUUAAGUCUUGUUUGCCUUAAAUUUCUUACAGAGCAACAGGAAUUGGAAACAUGGAAUUGAAUGUACGGAUAGUUCAGAAAUACUAGCUAAUUCAUAAUCAAGCGCAACCAUGAUCGUUCACCUCCUCUUUGUCCUCUAUUAGCUUUAUUUCUUGAGGCAGGUGUUGAUCGAAUGAUAUUUUAUUUUUCUUCAAGAACUUGGUCGAUCAGCUUACCGAAACAUAAAUAGGUUUGUCAUCAACCCCUCGCUCAUGAUCACAUUUUGACAGUCUGCACUGAUAUCAUCACAUUGUUCCCAAGCCCAAGCAUCCGCUACAUCAAACCCUGUGUUGUUAUAAGUCUGCUGCAGCAGCGCGUCUAAUAUGUCACCGUAUUCUCUAACACCACUCUCCUCUGAAACAUCACUGAAAUCCGGAGCUGCUGACAUGGUCAACGGUGGAACAUCAAACAGUCUACCAUCAUUACCAGGUACCCCGUCAAAGUUAACGAAUGAACCAACAUCAGUGGCACGACCAACACCACCGGCUUCGCCGCCACCUCCAUAACCUGCCGUUAAUGACUUUGACAUCAUUAGGGUUUCCCAUGUUCUUAGAUUGAAGUCAAGGCACUGUGCUGGUGGCGGUGGUGGUGCAGGUUUGAGUAGUUUUGACUCUCUCACAAAUCUAGCUUCUGCUUGAAGCCUAGCACUUUCCCACUGAGCAAUGUGGCUGAGGUUUGAGAGGUUCUUCGGGUCGCCAUUAGCAAAGCCAAGGAUGGUGGUCUUGGGCUUGUGGGUUACUGGGUCAAACCCUAUCUUGUCUAAUCUCUUCUUCAAAUGUGUAUUCCAGUAGUUCUUGAUCUCAUUGUCUGUUCUCCUUGGUAGGUUUGCAGCUAUUGCUGACCACCUAAUACACAUUUACCGAACAACUAAUAAGCAUCACCAUGUUUGUAUAAUAUCGAAAAUAUUUGCACUGCUUAAAUAGUACUAUAAUUUUUUUCAGAGAUACUAUAGGUAAGAAACUAAGAACUACGAACACGUUCUAAAGAUGUCUAAUCAAGAACAUGUGGUGCUGCAACUAUAGCGAACGUAUGGUGCUGCAACUAUAGCCAACAUCGAUCUCAGUUCCUACGUAUAUACUAUUCAAAAUCACCUUCUCAAUCUCUAAAUUUAAUGUUCAAGUUUAGUUGAACAGAUUAAAUAGUGAUGGGUAACAAUAAGUCAAACUAGGGCAUCCUCACAUAUAAGUUAAAAUUAAUUAUAUCGAUAUCUUUCAUUUAUUUAUUUUUUUUCGAUCGAAAAAAUUACAUCUUUCUGUGUAAGUUGUCCAUAUGUGUUUACGGUUGUCUAAUUCGAUUAUCAUGAUCAUCUCCGAUUUUCAAACUCUAGCUAAUUCUGCACAUUAUAUAAAUAAAGUAAUCAGAUGGAUAUGUGGACAACAUUCAAGUUAUCAAAACCCACAAUAUAAUGAAUUAAACCAUAAAGUUAGUAUAACCUAUUUAUGAAGUAAAAAUGAUGCAGAGCAUAUAAGGUAAUAUUUAAUUAUAGAUUCGUAAUUUUUGAUAUUUUAUUAUUGAUAUAGUUUUAGAGACUUAUUUUAUAAUUAUUAGGAUUUACGUUUAAUUAGCUUUUCUUUUAGCUUUAAAAAAAUUAGUAACCGGCCUGUUGCCUAGAAGUAAAAAAAAUUAGUUACCUGUUGCCUAGAAGUGCAUGAAGCUGAAUGAUAGUCUGGUCUUCCUGCAAACUGAAAUUUCCUCUCUUAAUAUCAGGUCUUAGGUAGUUUUUCCAUCUUAACCUGCAGCUCUUCCCACAUCUUUGUAAACCUAUCAUACGCACAUCCCAAAACAACAGAUGUUAAUUAGAGAAACUAUUCACAGUUGAAAUGUGUGUGUGAGAGAGAGAGAGAGAGAGAGAGAGAGAGAGAGAGAGGGUACCAGCUUUCUCGGGCAAGGAACGCCAGCUUCCAUGGCCAUGUUGUUGAAUGAAGGCAAAGAGCUUCUUGUCCUCUUGAGGAGUCCAUGGCCCUCUUUUUAUGUUCGAAGUUGCAGCACUGCUGCUGUUAGUUGAAGUUCUGGAUUUCUCCAUGAUGAGAAUGAGUGUGGUUGAGAAGGACUGGCUAUGUAGCUGCCGCUGCUACUCUUGAUUUCCUUUCCUUUUUCGGUUGAGUAUUCCAGAUUUAACGUAUGACGGGAAUGGCCGCUUUACAAAUUUAUAUUGGUUGAAGCAACUGUUGGAAUUUCUUUAUGACCAUAUUACCCUUUCUUUGUCAGAACUCAGGACUACUGUUAGCAAUUUGGGCUGCAUUGUUAGUACAAUAUCAUUGUCCCACGCGCAGCUUGAUAUUAAUUUGACACACCAGACACCCAUUCUGUGAAUUUAAACUCAUUCGAAGAUCUUCACAGACUCGGUUAAAUAUACAUUGAUGGGAUUUUUUUUUUUUGGCUAUUUUGCAAGCUAGAUGAGUAUUUCAAAUAGGCAAAUCCGGAUACUCAGAUGAACUGUUUUUCGGAGCGGUUUUGAUGCGGUUUCGGUUAGAACUCUAAUACUAGUAAAUCCAGAAGAUCAUACCCAAAAGAAUAUGCCCAAUUUAAUUGAACUAACCUAAGUCUACACAUAACAAUAGCUCAAUAUGAAUACAUUUGUUCUGUUAGCUCCGUGACGGACGCUAUCAGCUAACACAUUUUGGUCAUAACAUGUCAUUUCUUCUUCUUCGCUGAACAUGCAAGUUUCUGUUAAUCUAUACACUGUUUUAAUUAAUUUCCAGUUCAAUAGCUCGGAGCUUGGGAUUUGAAAGUUGGUGGAGGAGAUAGAUCUCAUCUGGUGCCUUGUCACGACACGAAUGUCCUCUGUUUAUUAUGAUCCAUCACUUAAAUUGCUCGGUAAAAAGAGAUAGACGUACAUGAUCGAUUUGUUUUGGAUUGAAUGACAUUAGGUUUGCAAAUGAUGACAAAGUGGGGAAUUUAGUACUGGUAAUUUUGACUUAAAGCUCCAUAUAUGUAAGAGUUCUCAUGAACAUCCAUGUUUUCAGUGUAAAAUGGAAUGAUGAUUCUAUGGCAUAGUGAGUACGUAAGAUCUCCCAGCAGGGCGCGCAGAGAGUUUCAAACAGUUUCAUGGAAGCCAAGUAUGAAGUAUCAGAUCUCACUUCAGAGCAGAGUAUUCUGAUAUCACAUCAGUGUUAUACAAGGAAGGACGGACACAUUGUACUACGUACUACUUUUGUCAAAGUUGACGAUGAUGAUCAAAUCUUUCUGGAAAUAUAUACCAGGCAUGCAUGCAUGCAGCAUGAAGCUAGAGCAGUCUAUCUUAAAUUUAGGAUCAAUAUACAACCAAGAACGCUUGUUGCAAAGUUCGAGUGGAAUGAUUGCAUUCUCAAAUUGAGUAAAUGGUGAUGAUGAUCAUCGGGAACGGUAAGAUCGUCAGUAUGUGAAUUGUCCAAAUCUUACAUUAAUUAUUUACCUAGCUCUACUAGGGCACUGUAAACCACAAUAACAGUCAGUGACUAACUGACCGGCAAUCAAAAAAAAAAAAAAACUGGCCGGCAAUCAUAACAUCUAGGUUUGUCCAUCAGUCCAUGCCAUUCCAUUCCCAUCCAUAACCCUGCAGGUUUGCCGAAAACUUUAAUAAAAUGUAAAUAUUUACUACGUACCCAGAAAUGAAAGCCAACUAUUCGGGUUCUGCUUAUAGUUAUUGAGCAUAUCAGAUAUUUAGAUUUGAUAUAUAAUGAAUUUACUGUAAGUACUCUGCAGGUAGCUGAAGGCCACAAAGCUCUAAUUUAUUUCUCUAUUGUCUAUACAGUCUCUCGGGCUCUCAGCUGUAGAUAUGUACCCAGUGAGCUCAGUUAAGACGUUCGAAACAAAAAAGGGGUGUCUGUUCAUACAACUACAAGCUAGGUCGUCGCAGGCAUUCAUCACUCUCUGAAAAACCAGGCUUGAGAUAAAUACAUGCAGAAACGUCUUUCACUUCAUAUAUUGAUGAAAAUUAAUCCCCAUAUAUAUAUAUAUGGUAAAUAUUACGCAAAUGUAUAAUAGCUUUAUAUCUGUAUACUUUAUUGCUCUGAAUUGCUGUUCAACUUGUUGUAGCUAUCUAAUUCAAUCUGGUGCUGCAUGCAUGAUUAUUGUAGCUACCUUUAGAACGUCAAUUGAAGACACUGAGAUACUUUUUUUGACAGCUCGAUCUGGAACUACCUAGAACUGUACAUGCUAGUGAUGGAGAAGAAAGGAGAGGGUUGGGAUUAAUUGGACCUAUUGUUGUUAUGCAAGCUAGCAACACCAUCUUGAUUAAUUGUACACGUGUUAAAGGUACGUUGUUGCUUCAAAUUCAUAGAUACUGAAUCUUGCAUAUAUACCGACCAAUAUUAAGGCUCAUGUUUACACUGUCGUCGUACAGAUUUGUAUGCAAGAUUCAGUGUAUGUAUGAAUUUUGAUUAGUGUGUGUAUAUAUAUAUAUUUAUAUCAGUACGUGAUGAACGAAUUUGAAAUGAUUAAUUCUACACGCAAAGUAUGUGUUUUAUAUUAAGGAGGAGUGUGAAUCAAGUGUACUUAGAGGAGAGCAUAGUAUGAUGGUGAACCAUGACUUGUUGAUUAACUAACUUAAUUGACAUUGUAGAUACCAUAGGUCCAAAUCUCAUUGAUAUUGUAAUUAAGGGUAGGGUAUUGCGUUUUCAGCUUAAUCCUUCAAGGAAAUCAAGAUGAGGAAUUAGGUUUUCAGCUUAAACAACAUAUGAGAAAUUGCUUGUGUGACUUGUUUCUCUAAGAAUAUUGCUAAUGUCUGUACACAAAUAUACAUGACUUAUUGCUUAUGUUUAUGUAAACGAAACUAUUAUAGUUAUCGUUGUAUUAAUGAAGAGGGAGUACAAGGACCUCUUAACAGGUACUCUUUUUUAUUUUAUCCCUAACAUCAGGAUGAUAAUAUGAAAUUUUCGUUCAUAAUCCAGAAGGAAGCUCACCCUAAUUAAUCUCUACACAGCUCUAUUUUAUCUUUCACUCUGUCGAAGGGAUGAAGAUAACCCAUCUGAUAUUUGUUUAAAAUAUCUCUACAUCUCUCACAGACCUGCAAUUGUAAUAAAGAAAGUAAAUUUGUUUAAUCAGCAAGUCAUCAGUUCAAAAAAUAAAGCAGUAAAUUGAGAAGAAAAGGAAAAAGAAGAACAAACCUGCAAGAGUAGAAGUGGGACGACGACCGUCAACCAAUGUUGUGGGAUUUUGAGGGUUUUGGACGAGAAACGAAUAGAAAUAUAAAGGGUUUUGGAGUUUUGGGUGUGAUCCAAUCAGUCCAAUCCCACAAUUAUAUCAACUAUACUAUUAUAUAUGUAAUAUUAAAAUAUGAUAUAUAGAUGUGUAUCAAAGUAAAAAGUUGGAUACGGAGAUUAAGGGGGAAAUAAAAUAUAUGCUCAGGCGUCACUUGUCAAAAUAUGAGUGGCAGCAGUGGCCCUCACCGGACCCCUACUGCGUCCGCCAUUGGGGAGUAAGAACAUACAUACGAGUUCAUAAUUCAUAUUGUUGAGUAUAUAGGAAACCUUGACAUUAUUGAGGCGUUUACAAUUCGUGGGGGAUAGAUAAUUAAGUAUACUACUCCCUUAUGAUUAAAUAUAACAACAUUUGAUGAAACUGAAACUGUAUGUGUGAGACAAAACGGGAAGCUCCAUUUUUCAAACAAUAUCAUUAGUACGUGUUGAGGAUCUUGUCGUGCAGGACUCAAAUUCUCUCGUGGUUGGAGAUUUGAUCGACCACAUAUGUCAUAAACUAAUUAAAUCCCACAUGUUUAAUAAAAUGAAAUGAUAUCCAUAGAUGGUGUUUUACAGCUCGAUAUAACUGAAUGCAUCGUCAACUCAUCAUCUCAAACGAGCUAGCUAGCUAGAGGAAAGAAACAGUAGAACUAAAUCCCAUGGGAUUGAACGUAUGAAUGAGUCUGCAUGUCGAUAGAUAAAAUAAAAAUUACACAUAAAUCCAGCUUGUGUUCCUUCUUAUAUAUACAAUACGAUCAAUUUAGGUUUUGCUCGUUUAAAGAAGCCAGAUCUUUGUUUUAGUAAACAUGUGGAAGUUUAUGUUAGAACAGUAUGUCAGGACAAUUGUUUUUCUUCCUGCAAUUUUUUUCCACCGGCCUUCCAUGAUUUUAGUAUAUGUCAACAACCUAAGAUUUCAUCUGUGUUGAAGAUUGAACUGAUAUUGACUUAAUUAAAAGCUAAAAUUUGAUUAGUCAAGUAGUUGUCAUGAAGUAUAGGCAAUGAGUCAUAACAUUACGCAAGAGCUAGCCAACAAUUUGUUGGUAGGGAUCAGCUUGUUUUUUUUUUUCUCUGGUCAAUAGGCUAACCGAUCAAAUCAUGAAAAUACCUGGCCGGAUGCAUAUUUCAUAUUUGUGUAUUCACAGGGAACACCAAAUCAAUCUUCAUGAUCUUACUCACACUAGUACAGAGACACCACUGUCUCAAAUACUACAUAAAGUCAAAGCAAGUUUUUCAAUAUCGGGUCGGGUUUUCAAUAGGUCUCCGAUGCUGUCAGAGGAAACUUGAGGAGAAAAUGAUGACACCAACGCGAUUUUCCGACGUCCUCAGGUGUCUGAUGUAGAGAUGGAACGGAGAUGAUGAUGUUGGGGAUUUCUGUCCACAGCGGAAAAAUUGAACACAAAUGUGCAUAUAUAUGAUACUGCUUGCGAGGGUUCUGCAGUUCUUCUCUAACAUAAUAGAAAUGGAUGUAUUGAUACAAAUUAGAUGAGAAGUAGCAGAAAUUUUGUUUGAGACUCGAAAAUCAUACUGUAGUCCCUGCUCUCGAUCUACUUCGUCGACUCGAAUGUUACAGUUUCUUCACUAGUUUGGGGAGCUCCAAGAGACUGAAAUCGCGAUCUAAUCUUACAUAACUCAUAUUCAUUUUCAUUCUCUUUCACCAUUUCCUACCUGUAUUUUUAUGUGUCCCAAGAGAGAAAGGAGACUAGGUCAACACUGGAAAGCACCCCUAAUUAGCUGAGUUCUCCUCCACAGCUAGAAUGAUCGAUAAUCCAAAAUAUUGUGAUAAAAAACAAUAAACACUGAAACUGAUCCACCAUACCCUGAUAAGUGAGGUCAUGGUUUGCAUUAUAAAUUUCCCAGAGGACUAAUGAGGUGCAAGAUUGAAGCAACUAAAAUAUACAAAAUAAGAUCAUUACCACCAACUGAAUCUCAUUCUCUUUGUCACCAAUAUUGUACAGCACCCUUCACAAGAAUGAUGCCAAUAUCCAACGAGAUUUAAAUACGCAAACAGUUUGAUACUAUCAAAUCAAAAUAAUUUCUCACAAUACUACAUAACAUAGGCUUCACUUUCAUCAAAUUCCCUUAAUAAUUCAGAGAAUUUCUAUUCACAGACCCACACCACAUCAAUCAACUCACAAAACGUUAACAAUAAUAGGCUAGUAGCUGAAGCUAGCUGUUCUUCUUUCUUUCACUACACAUAACAGAUUCACAUCCAAAAGCUAUCUUGAUCAUCAAAUGGCCUUCUACCUAUCUCAUGAUUCGCCAUGACAGAAGAGAUUUCAGGGUUCACAUCAGUAGUAAGACCUGUUUCUUGAGACACACUGAUCAUGUCCCUCUCUGUUUUGAAGUUCUGUCUCAUGAACGAGACAUUGUUCUCAAGCAAGGCCCUCAGAUGGUCUUGCAUUACAACCGAACUCGGAAACUGGAAAUUUGCCGAUGAAACUGGAGCAGAGUAUUGAUACGUGACUCGUGGGAAAGAGUUGUUGUUGUUGUUGUUGUUGUUUGAAGGAUUGGAUGAAACAGAGAAGAGAGGAUUGUUGUUGUUGAUAUAAUCAACAAUCCCUUGGUUUCUUUGAGAAUCAAUGGAUUCUUGGUUGGAGAAGCAGGGCACGUAAGUCGACUCUGAAGCAGGUCUGGUCUUGGCGCCAUUGUAAGGCGUCGAGUCCAGCAAAGGUGGCAAACCAGAAGAACCAGUUUCAGUUCCACGAGAACCCGAAUUCGGAAGUCCAGAGAUAUGGACUUUUUUACCACCGGCAGAUUUUUCAAAGACCCUACAAAUCACCCAUUCGUUCUGCAAAUUUGAGAUCAAAUUAGGGUCAGAAACAGAGACAAAACAGAGUAAAACAGAGCAAAUUAACAUAGUGAAACAUACAUACCUUUGCAGAUUUGGGGAGGUUGUGGACUGAGAAUUUACCCUCCAAUCUGUAUUCAUGCAUGACCCAGUUGCUCUUUUCACCUUUUGGGGCUCUGCCUCUGUAGAACACAAGGGUCUUCUUCAUGCCAACUAGGGAUUUCCCUUUGUAAAUCUCCUUGUCUUUCCCGGUAGCUUUCCAAUAUCCAGCCUCAGUUGCUCUGUUUGUCCUCAGACCAGUUGGAUACUUUCUGUCCCUCACACAGAAGAAGUACCAUUCCUUUUCUCCCAUUUUCGCUUUAUCUUCAUCAACAAACCAAAAAAACAAAAUAAAGCUAAAGAAUAACCAAAACUGCAACAUUAAAUCGAAUUGAAAAUCACAGACACUUAAAAUAAAGAUGGGAAGCAAUUUACUUUGGGGAAACUUACAUGGCAAAUCCCAAGGCUCGGACUUGUUCAAGUCCACAUCCCCAAUUGCUUUGCAUCCGAAGUUGGAAUCCAUAACCUUCUUGUGUAGGUAGUGAGAAAUAAGCUCUUCAUCGGUUGGGUGGAAUCGAAACCCGGGUGGUAGAUCAAUCUGAUUGUCUUCCUUGAAAUUUCCAGCUGGAAGAACAAACUUUUCCAUUUCCUGCAUCAUUGAUACCUGUAAAACCUCACUUCUAGCUUCCCUCUACAAAACCUCUGUUUCUUCACGGUCUUGGUUUUGAUCAACAGGGCAUGGUUUUCAAACUUAAACCUCAAUUUAUACAAAUAGACUCCUAUCUGGGUUUCUCAGACUGAAAUGAGUUGUGACCAACACAGCUUUCAGCUAGCUCACAGAUUUUUGAAAACAGGAAACAGAACCGAGUAAGACGAGAAGCAAAAAGUAUGUUGUCAAGGAGCAAAAGAAUAAAGCUGGAGGAAAAUAAGAGAAGCCAUGAAACAAGUUUGUGAGAGGGAUGAGAUUUUAAGAGAAAGAAAAGCACGAUGAGAAACAGAAGCCCCUAAAUACUGGUGCGUUUGGAGAGAAAGAAACGUGGUAUGGAAGGUAACUCUGGCUGGGUAGGUCCUUUUAGCUUUUUUAACAUUUUCUCGAGUAACCAAUUUUGCCCUCUUCGAAUUUGACCAAAGACAAAAUGAACCUAUCAAAUCCAAGUACUAUGCAUUUGAUUUUAAUUGAUUUUAUUACCGAUUUAAUAUGUUUCAGUUUUGUCAAUUCCUUGGCUAAUUUCAACUAAUUAGAUUUUCUAAAUUCAAGUAACUAUUUGUUCAUUUUAAUCAUGGUUUUAGGAUGUCGAUAUAUAUGAACUAUAUGUGUUUGUUUGUUACGGUGUCAUGAAUUGUUUAUGACAGUCUACAUGUUAUGAAUUUUGAAAUUCUCAUUAUUCACGUCUUUAACGACACCGUUAUCACACGUAACAUAUUAAAUACUAGAUAGACUCUGAAAUUAACAGAAAUAAAUAGAGCAUUAAUCAACGAGAACUACAAUCAUGAUGUAACCCUUAAUAAUAUAUCAACAUGGAUACAUACAUUAGAUUCACAUGCAUUACAUAUUAACAUAAUACAGUUACACUGUGUAACUAAGACAAUCGGAUCAUAGACGCAGUUGUCCAUACGUGAAUUGAUUCAUUUCAUUUGAUAGGACUUCAAUGUUACUGAAUUGAUGUUGCUUGUUCCAACGAAUACAAGAAUCAUAGGCAUACAUCAUAAUGUAGUCUCUGUUUUGUAGCAGUGAUGAACAUUAUGUUAGCUCAUUAGCGAUAACAGCUGUAUGAGUGUGAAGGCGUAGAAUUAGUCAGGUCGUGCAAAUUAGUUAACAAAACACACUUUAAUCAUGUGUAAAAGACCAUUCUAACCCUCUUCUUUUCAUAAGAAAAAUCACAAAUAUGUGAAAUGGCGAUUAGCCGACAGGGUACUGCACAGACUUUUUAUGUGAUUGUUACUAAAAAAUGACAUCAAAUUAGGUCGGAAAUAACUUCAAUUAAAAAGCAGACAAAUAAUUUCAAGAAGAUCUUCAGCAAAGACAGCCAAAUUAAUACGAUCUUUGAUAUGACUCUCAUCGUUGUAUCAAAACUAAUGUCAACUUCUAUAAUUUUCGAUCUUUUCUAAUUAUCUUUUAGUGGCGGAUUAAGUACUAAUUAAUAUGAUCAUAACAGAUAAUUUGGUAUGAUAUAAUCCGUGACAACACCAAUUAAUCAAAGCUCUCAACUCUCUUUCAAAGGGUGAUGUAAAAGGUGCUCGGAGAUUAAAGCCAUUUAGUGGUUAAUGGUUAGGUGAAAGAAAGUUUGUUAAUGCAUCUAAGCUAAUUUGUCCAAUAUGAUUAGAAGAUUAGUGCCAGUUUUCAACAAUUUGAACCUGCAACGUUUGUUGUUUUUCAUUUAUGGUUAAAUGUAGGUUCUCUAAUAUUGCUUUAAGGAAAUUCCAAUUUGACUUGAAUUCUUCAUAAAAAUCUUCAUAGGGCCUCUUUAUUUAUAAAACUUUUACACGUGAAGGAUGCAUAUUAUAUUGGGCGAUGAUCAGAAAUUAGUAUGAUAUAUACAUAGUGAUCGAGCUGAUGAUCCCUACUUGACAAACUCAAACAAUAUAAUAAUAGAAAUUCUGAAUUUCCCACUACAUUUAUAAAACAAUUUUACCAUUCUAUUUGUCAACCAUAUCUCAUGUAAGUACGAUUACUGCUUAUGAUCAUUUCAACAAACUUGACUAAACGACAAAGUUCUAUAAACAAGAAUAAAUUGUAACGGUGAUAUAUUGAUUUUUAUAUUAAUUUAUCAAGUUUUUAUCUGGAAAUUGUUGUAUACGGCGUGCAAGUACACGGUGCAGACCACUAUAUAUUCAUAUUUAAGUUAAAGAUCUUAACUAUUCACACGGUAUUUUGUAUUUACACGUUGUGUACUGAAGAAUGUUUUCUGACUUUCUACCAUCUAUAAAGUAAAACGUAGCUAGGUCAACAAAUUUUGGUCACCAUGAGAUCAAAUCAAACCAGCUAAAUUCUAUGUUUUUUUUUCUCCAAAUUGUUUUAAUCUAAAAAUCUAAAACCAAACUUGGUCAAUUAAAAACCUGGCUCGAAAGCGGCCUAAAUAUCUCCUUAGUGUGGGCUAAAAGGGGUCCUAAAAACGAAGUUCGCAAUUGACCACCAAAGUUGCAUUCAGAAUUGAUUCCUAAAGUGAAAGAAAAUACUCGAAUGCAGGUCAUUUUCUGAGUGUAAUUUGUGAUUGUAAUUUGACCCUGUAGUGAUUCUGAUUGCGUUGUACAUGAAACUAGCACGGCCACUUUCGCCACUCCAUGGCUUUCUUCCAAAACCGGACUUUCCUUUUCAGGAAACAUUUCUAAUCACCCCUCGACGCGUGUGCUAGGGCUUUGGCUUUGUCCCAAGAAUUCCAAUCCGGUCAGUAAUCUCGAAAAGAUGGACUAAUCGGCGACGUCCUUAUCAAGGGUAUCACGAUAGCCAGGAUUGGACAGUACCGCCACACCUGAUCAUAGUCAGCUACUCGCCACCGGCCUCUUCGAUCUGGUUCGUCAAGUUCUUGAUAUUUUAUUAGUCAGACUUAACUAAGCCAGGACUAAACUAAACCCUAGGGCUGACUGUACGUGAAGUAUAACCCUUGCGAUUGGGUCGAGAGCGGCAGCUGGCUUCUGUUUCCUUGGCUCCAACAAAGGAGCAGCUAGAGACGUGGCAAGUCUGGUUUGGUAGAGAAGCCUAGACUGGGAAUAUUAUUGGGGAAUUUGAUCGAGUUCGGCAGAGAGGUCAUUCUUUGAAUAUUGAAAAACCAAAUACCGUAUUCUAAACUUGAUAGGGAUUAUGAAGAAGACGAAGAUCUUGAUCACCCUUAAUGUUAUUCAACGUCUACUUUUUUUGUUGUUGGAGAUAUUGAUGAAUGAAAAUGAUCGACUCAUUUUGAUGUGCUGCCUAACUCUGGAUCACUGGAUGUGAUUGGAGUGAUGGAAAAUAUUUAUAUGUACUGGAUUCUGUUGUAUUUGUACGUGGCUUCUUCACAAUCACAUUAGUAUAGUCUAAAUAACUUGGCCCUAUUUUCUUCGAAUAUAGUACGUACUCUGUUUUGUUUUUCUGGACUACUCGAUCAGGAUAUUUAAGCACCCAGUUGUGGCAACUAAUACAAGUUACGAACUCACAAACGUGUUUAACAUUUUCGGGGUGAUGACUCACUAAUCACUAUUGUCAUGUUUUCUAUAUAUGUUUUGGUGAGAGCUAAAAUUGGGGGAUUAGAUUAGGCCAGCAGGGUCUUCCUCAGAAUUCCUCUACGGGGGAUAUGAUUAUAUGAUAUAAUUUGAUGUUGAUCGUUGACAAUUUCCGAGAUAUGUACUAGUCGGAGAAGUUUUGAUUAAUCUUAUUAGUAAUUGGCCAUACUUAUUUAUAGUCAAAUAGAAGCAAGCUAGCUAAUUAAAAAGGGAAUCAAGAUAAGUUAAUUAUCCUUGGGUGUAAAAUAUGUGUAAUUCGUUCAUAUUCAACAAAAGCAGACUCAGAAGAAUCUGGGGAGCAUAAAUAAAAAGAAUUGAAGAAGAUAAACUGUGGCUGGAUGUGUUUGUAGGGAAAAUGUGAAGCAAGGGAAGUAGAAGAAGAAGAAGAAGAAGAAGAAGAAGAAGAAAGAUGCACGUACAUGCCACGAAAAUACUAUAAUAUCAUCUUGUUCUACACUUCUACUAUAGUAAAGGAUGUUUGUUUAUGUCAAAUUAAGGGGCUGGGAAAGGGUUGGGAAUAGGAGGGAAAGAGACGUAUAUAUAAGAAAGUUGUGUGUGAAUUUUCAUGACAAAAAUAAAAUAGAGAGAGUUUUGUGUUGCUCAUUUCCAAGUUCAGACUCUAUCGCAUAUUUAGAAGUACAGCAGCUCCCUGAUCGAUUGAGUCUUAAUGGUUUAGGAAGCUUUUAUAACUACGAGCGAUUAACUCUGUUAGUCUCAAACUACUUAUUCUCAUUCUAAAAAGGAAAAACUGAUAUGUCAAUAAAUCCAACGUCGAACUAGGUAACCAGUUGAGUUAACUUAGCAAGUCACAUUAAUAAUGUAGUUUCGAUCCUGAAAUCUGUUAUGUCAAUAACAUCAAAUCAUCUCAAAGACACACAAAGUUCAGGAAGUCAAAAAUCUGACCUUGAGUUUGGUACAACUAAUGAGCAACAUGAUCGAUGAUGUCGAAAGGAUUUUUGUUUCUAUGUUUUAAUCAUAUAUUAAGAAUGUAGCAAGGGCCUCCUCACAGCUAGUAGUUUUGUACUUUUUGUUUAAUCCAGAUCUAGAAUUAGGAAGUACAAAAAUAUGGUGAUUUGUGGCCUUAUAUUCAAAGGAUUGACAACAACAAUUCCCUAAUAAUUGAACUGUGUGGGACAAAGUAACCAAAAGAAAAGAGACCGGCCUGAUCGACAAACUAAACUAAGGCAGGUGAACUCAAGCUUGUCCUACAGGGCUUACUUUGUCCUCCAAGAUAUUGGAUAAUGUCCAGCCUAACCUAAAUUGAAGUAAAUUAAAGCUCUAGCUAUUCUUCCCUAAUAGUGAUUGAUGAAGACAGAAGGUGAUCAAUAAUACACAAGGCAGGUGAUCAUUAUACAGCUGCUUGAUGAACAAGAUAGCUAGAUCGAUGCAGUUGUGUCUCUUUUUGCAGAGAUUUCCACAACAAGUCUCCCAUUAUGGCAUCCAAGAAACUACAAUUGGUUUAUUACAACUAUAAAGCUGCAGCGUAAAAAUGCAAAUGCAUUUUGCUUCUUCUACUACUUAGGCUAGCGAAACUUGAAAGCCAAAGCAGAAAAGGCCAUUUGAGACUUUCGAUUGAGUGGUUUGUCAAGUGUUUAUCUGAGUUGUUAUUACGAAGGGUGAUCAGACAUGGCAUAUCUGCAGCGCAGACCAACUUUGGUUGGAAGCUUGCCCUAAAAUAGAAACUGUCAAUUUGUUAUUUACCAUCGGAGUCUCAGCACACCAUGACUGCACCAGGAUAUGCACGAAACCAAACCCACUCAAUGCUUCUGAAAGCAAUUCCAAUUUCCAACCAUAGAACAAACCGGGUUGAUUUUGCAGAGAUGCAUAAACUAUCUUUAGAGACCAAUCCAAAAGUAUGCAUUCCAAACAAGGAAAAAGUAAAUCAAAAGUAACCGCCCAUUGCUCGAAAGGGAAUCAAAAGAUAGAAUCCACAUUAGCAUCAUGUUCUAAGGUGCGAAUCAAUAAUUCUAAUUUCAUUGAAAUGGAUCCAAGUCUUAGCCAUAAAUAUUUCAUCUGGUAAUUCAAACUGACUAUAGUACUAUACGGUCAUUUCACAUAUUACAGUAAUCUAGGGUGCGUGUGUUUGGUUGAUGAAGGAACGUACAAGACAUUCCGAAAUUAUGAGCAAAGACUAUCAGAUUCAACCAACAGUGAUUCAGUGAAGCACUACGGAUGUAUGGUUGGUAUGUUGGGGCGAGCUGAGUCUGUGGAGGAGGCUUACAGAGUUACAGGUUGAUAAGGAGCAUGCCGGUGAAAUGUAAUGCCGUUGUAUGGAGGACAUUGUUGUCGGCAUGUCUGUGGAGGACAUGGUUGAUAUGUGGUUGAGCUUGGAGAGAAGGUCAGGAGUCAUCUUUUGGAGUUGGAUUCAGAUCAUAGCAGUGAUUACUGAUUACGUGCUUCUGGCUAACAUGUAUGCAAGUGUAGGCGAGUGGAACGAAGCUAUGAGAGCAAGAAGAUCAAUGCAGGACAGGGGAGUUGAGAAACCAGAGCCUGGUAAUAGCAUGAUUUUUUUUCGAUUACCUGGUAAUAGCAUGAUUGGCGCAGAUCUCCAUAUGAGGUUGAAAGGGGACACAACUAAAGCCUAUUCUGGACAUAUAAAUGCAUCAGUUCACUAGUUCAUCAGCAUACUUUGUAAUUAUUUUCUUUGGUAGAAUAGAAUAUGACAUUUAUUUUAUAGGGUUUGGAACUCAACGAAGGCUCAGCCCUAGUCCCAGUUCCAGUUGUUUUAUUGAAAAAAAAAAGAAACAAAAGAGUACAUGAAGGGAGAGGGGGCAUAGACAAAAACCCCUCCCAGAAAAAGAAGAACAACAUUAAAACCUGAGAUCUACUUUGUAAUUAUUUUCUUUGGUAGAACAGAAUAUGACAUUAUAUUCAAGGACAAAGUAGUCUUGGAGCAAUGUAUUAUACAACUACAUUUAAAGUUCUUGUUUUGUUUUUCCCCAUUUCGGGUGAAAACUACUUGGCAAAUGCAGAUACAGACCCAUGUAUUAUACAACUACAUGUGAAGUUCUUGUUUUCUUCUUCCCCAUGUCGGGUGAAAACUACUUGGCAAAUGCAGAUGCAUACCAAAAUAUUCAUCUCAGAACUGUUCUCUGGAUGUGAGCCAUCUAAGCUUAAGUUUGUUUCUUUUGUUUCUCUUCCUGCCACUCUUUGAUAUUGGCCUCUAUCUUUUGUUUCACGCUUGAGUGAAACCCUGGAUAAGGUUCGUAACCAAAGGCCGUUUGAAGGACCUGCAUGAUGUAAUAAUAGCAUAUUUAAGUCAUCAUUUAAAUAUAGAAUCAUCCCGAAUUCAGAUACGAUUUAGGAAUUACCUCAAGCAACACAAAGAAAGGAGCCAUCAGAAAUGCUUGGACGAGGUUAUCCAGAAGAGCCGGUGCUCGUUUCUGAAAACAAUCAUUAUGGUUAGACGCAUUAUUUAUCCUCAUUUCAAGUAAAGAAAGCAUUAUAUGUGUGAUGCGACUAUGUUCAGACUCAGGAAUACAGAAACAACAAUAGUGGAAAAUCACUAAUUGUCACCUCAAACACCCCGUGGCCUAUGAACUGUCCAGCCCAACAGAACAACUGAGCUGCCAAAACAACCUGAAAAGCAAGUCAUCAAACAUUUAGGAGUUUGAUUUUCAAUAUAAAACUCUUAGCCAGAAAGAGCAAUGCAGCUCCUAUCUUUAGCUAAGAAAGGAAUUUGUAGUUUAUAAGAUCUCCAUGUAGUGAUUAACAACUUCCCCCGCACCAGCAAGCAAUGUAGAAAAUUAAACCUGUUGGUAUUAUAUUUCCAAAGACCAUAUGAUCAAAGUUCUACAUUAUCCAGAAAUAUUUUAAAGUCCCAAUCUCUGAAUGAUAAAGUUUGUUCUAUAUGUCUUGCAGGGCAGAGUUCACUCAGUUCAGCAAGUUUCCCAGCGGUUUUCCUCUUCAAUGAAUUAAACCCUUUUCCCAAACCUUUCCUCACUAUAACAUCUAGUAUUGAAAUCCUGUUGCAAACUAAAGGCCAAGAAUCACCAACUGUACAUAUGUACCACAAUUGUGUACAAGAAACAAAUCAGACUACUGAGAUGGACCUCAUAAUUGAACUGAGCAUACUAACUAAUCUCCAAUGCCACAACUAGAACUUGGGCCUGCACGUAGAUUCAAGUUGAUUUAGAGAAUUUCAGACAGAAAUGUAAUUUCUCCAUUGAGACACCUCCACUCUUCCACAAAAGACAUAAUCAAGAGUCAAGACUUAGCACUGUAUGAUCGAAGAUACAAUGACUACCCUAAUGUUCCCAUCCUAAAUUGUUCUGUAAAUGCAUGUGCCUUUCAUCUACCGGAAUCUACUAGAAUAGCACAGUGAUCAACAAUGUUUCUGGAUAGGACCAUAUCUUUGAAUUGCAAAACCAUACAAAGUCAAGAACUUCCCAAGUCAAAUUGAUCAAAACCACAUCUUUUAUACCCAGCUUCAAAAAAAAAGAGAGCGAAAAUUUUAUAAAGAAAAAAAAAAAACCCAUGUGAGAUCAAAAUAGUUAUAACAUAACCAAACAACUGAAACAAGCUGGAAAAAGAAAGCACAUACCUUCCACGCCAAUGAAAACCCAAAUCGAUUAGCAAGAACACUGGCUCCAACCCAGCAGAGAACACAGAGCAAAGCAGCCAAGGACCCAGCUUUUUUAUCCAAUCCAACAUAAUACAAAGCAUAGAUCACAGUGAACACGAACCCGAAAUUGAGAUAAAACCCAGCUGGGAAACUGAACAGGGAAGGUGUGAAGUAGAGAAGAACAAGAGAGGUGAAGAGAAUAGGCCACACAAACAGAGUGUGGAUCAAAAUGUUAACAGGGUUGCUGUGAUAUGCGCCAUAGAAGGCAAAGUGGUUUUCAAGAUCAAACAAUCCACUCCUCCCCAUUGAAAUUGUUUCUGGUUGGAACUGAAAUGACAAAGUGGGUAUGAAAAGGACGAAGAAAUAGAUAGACGACCGAACACGGAGACUAGUAGGCUAGUAGCACCUUGGAAUUGCCAAAAUUGCCUUCCUGCAACUUGAACUCUGUUUGGAAUCCUCUGUUUGACUAAACAAGAUCAAAUUGCAAAAAAGAAAAAAAAAUUAAUUGGCCCAUGCAGGUCUCGAACCUGCGACCUUCGCGUUAUUAGCACGACGCUCUAACCAGCUGAGCUAAUAGGCCAGUUGAUGAAUUUUGACAAAUUGACAUAUACAAAAUAAUAUGGUUAAAAAUGUGUAAAAUAAGGGUGGAUGCAAAUGGUUCUCUUAUCCACUCUCCCCUCUGAUCAACAAAACACAAACCUAGCUUCAAAUUUGUACUACUUCAUCUUCUCAACUAAUAAUUCAAGACUAAAUGGCAGAAGCUAUCAUGGGCUUCACCAUUACUAGUCCACAUAUUCACAGCUCUUCACUCCAAACAACAAAAGUGGAUAUCACCCACAUGACCUCAUCUACAAGAUUGGUAACACUUCCAACCUACAAGAGCUUAUGCUUUAGACUUUACAUGGUGGAACUGCAUUUACUAAUGUGAAUAGUACCCUUCUUUUGCAGCUUAGGCAGUGUUCAAGUUCUGAGCUUUUCGGUGGGUGCAAGCAGGUACUUAUAAGCAGUUCUUAUAUUUCCUAGCCCAAAAAAGAAAGGGAAUUUGAGCACAUCAAAUCAUGUAGUGCAAUAAUUUGGUAAUGUAGGAUUGGUUGUUAGGUAACUAUAAUGUGUUGAAUUUGUUUGCAUAGCUUGAAGUUGGGAAGAAGAGCAAAAGAUCCCCUCUGAGCAGAACCAAUGCUUUCCCAGAUUGGCCUCUAAUGGCAGUUCUAGUGGAGCAUAUUGAAGGCCAAAGAGACUUUAUAACCCACAAAUCCAUUGUGCAUCUCAGUGAUGACUCCAUAAAAAGUGUUUGUAAGUAUUAGUUCUUUAUCAUUUCAUCAGUUCUAUUUCUUAGUUUCUCAUUUAAUUUUGCCACUUCCAUUGUCUAUUUGUAGAUACUGCUUACAUCAUGUUCACUGUUUGGGGGUGUUUGUUCUUUGGUUCCAUGAAGGUGAAGCACUUAAUAAACAUUAUAGUUACAAUUUCAUUGAUUUUGGAGAUAAUUAAUCCAAUAGUUCAGACAUUCUUGUUUUAGGAUCCAUAUUAUGAUUCAGAAGUGUACAGAGAAGAUGGAGGAGAUGGUACUGGACAUUGGAUAUAUGAGAAGGUAAACUUACUUAUCACUACUGUUUCAUAAGUUUUUCCGUGCACUACUUGGUCAAGUUUCAAUCUUGAGCUAGAACAUAAAUCAAGUAAAGCUCAAUUGCUUCUUGGUAAAGUAUGGUUGAUAUUUGAGUAUUUGACCAACCAUGUUGACUGUUGUGGCCAGCCUUCUAAUUUGGAUUUCUAGCAGAUGACAAAACUUGAAGCAAGCUUGAGUAUCUUCAAGCUUUAACUUUUAACACAUUGGUCACUGACCUAUCUUGUGAAGUGGUUUUUGGCUUGUUUUUGAUUCAAUGGUACUUGUUUUGGCAACUCCAUGUAUAACAAAUGUAACUGAUGUAGAAUGACUUAAUAGUGAUAUGUAAAUAUGCAGCAAGAAGACAUUGAAGAAUCUGCAAGAUCAGAGUUGUGGAGGGAAGAACUGAUUGAGGAGAUAGAGCAGAAAGUUGGAGGGCUGAGAGAGUUGGAAGAGGCUGCUAAGAAGGAGGAGCAGCUUGUGAAGUAGCUUAGUCAUUGGUUUCUUAUGAAUUUGCUGAUGAAUACUUCUUCAGUGUUUCACUCUUAUAAAUAUCCAGAUGUUGUAUAUACUAAUACCAUAUUGAAGGUUCGAUCUCAUUGAUGAGUUGGAAAAACAAACGUAACUACUACUCUGCUAGUGUAUGUGUCUCUGGAAAGAGGAUAUGCUUAAAGCAAAUAUAACACAAAAAUCUGAUCUGAUGUUCAGUUGAGAUAUAUCUGCUAGCAUUUGGUGCAUAUAUAUGAAGAAAGUGCAACGGUUUCAAAGUUAUGAAUUCAGUACAUGAACCAUGAGUGCUUUGACCACCCAAAAAAAUGCAUCAUCUUGCUUAAAAAGCCUUUCAUAGAUGACUAGUGCAAAACCUAGUAGUUGGAUUAUAUAUAACUCAAUCCUGCUGCAUUAAUAUUUAUCAAUAAAAUCUUGAUUUGUGGAAUAUGAGAAAUUCAUAUAACUUUAGCUGCUCACAUCUUCUGCAUCAAAUAUGUUUGCAAUAGGCUUCAUUUCCUAUCUAUCUGUCAUUUGUUUGAUUAAUUGAAAUUCAACUGGACUCUUUCAGGGCUUUAAAGGUCAGCUACUGAUCAGUUGUGGAGCGAAAAUCCAAGAAAAGAAAAAGAAAGAAAAAAUAAAGGGUAUCCACUUGGUGAUAUGGUGAAUUGAAGUAUGAGAGAACAUUGUCAAUGUUUGGUUCUUCUUUCCCAGAAUCAUGGAUUUGUUCUGGGAAAUACCUUGGCCAUGGCCCUUGGUUUUGGAAAACCCGUAAUGUUCCAAAUCCAAACAAUGGGCCAAUUUUCUAUAACAAAAGAAAACAAUUCCAUAACCUGUGGGUAGCUAGCUAGUAUGAUCAGUUCUAUCCCCCAAUGAAAUCACAAACCCUAUCAAAUAUCAAUCAGAGAAUCCCAAAGGGGUUGAACUUGAAACUGGAAUAAACAGAUCACAUGCACCAGUAGUGGUGGCAGCCUUCAUUAUCUAUGUGCUCUCACUGUCAGACACCAUAAUACUACUCUAUAUCCGUAGAAAAUAUCUAAUCUAAAGCUAAGCUAAGCUUUGUUCAACUGAAAGGUGUUUCGAUUACCUUGGUAUUCACUCCUUCUAUGGUUACUUGGUUUCUCUUAGGGGCUUUUGUGCCCAGCGUUCUCAACCGGUGGAGGAAGUGGUUUGUUUUGGUGCUCCAGCGGCGGACUGGCGUCAAAUGGGACUGGAAUGUAGCGGCAGCAGCUCUGUGCGGCUGAUGUUGAAGCGAUGGAGGCUGUCAGAUUUAGGGUUUCUUACUUUUAGUUUUGGGCUUCUGUGUUGUGUUAUGGCUAAGCUCUUUAUGGGCUUUAUUUUGUUUAUGCUAGGCCUAAGUGCCUCUAUUACUGGGCCUAUGUGCCUUUUCACGUUGGGACCAAUGUGUCUCUUUAUGCUGAGACCUAUGUGUCUCUUGUGCUGGGGUCUUUUAUACCUCUAGUUAGUGUUGUAUUAGGUUGUACUUUUUGGACCAUCUAAUACAUUGCUCCCAUUGACCAAAGGAAAAAAAAAAACUAAGCUAAGCCAAUUUCAUGCAUGCCCUCCAUAAAUGAAUGUAGGUUUUGAACUGGUCCUAUAUAAACAUGUAUCAAAACUAUAUUUUAAAGGUGCAGAUUAAAUAGAUCAGUCAAUGUGAAUCACCUUCAACUCUUCAAGUUACAUGAUAUAUAUUCAUAUACUUUGAUUUCAUUCUCUUUGAAUCCAAUAUAAAAUUAGACAUCUCUUACUCUCCAACAGGAGUUGGCUUGCCUUCUAAGAGACGCUUGAUCUCAAUUUAAGUAAAGGUAAUGUUUACAUUACUCCUUGGUAUCAUCAAAAUGAUAUUUUAGAGGCAACUUGGUUUCUUUAGGAUUAGGGUUGGAGCCCUUGUAUCAUCAUAAAUCAGCAGCACAUGAGUGAUAUCCUGAUCAGAUUUCAAUCCGUAAUUAUUGGGUUUAUCUUAAUUAAAUUACUUAAUCCAUGACCAUUUGGUGGUUAUAUGCUGCGAUCUGUUCAACAUUUGUCAUUAUCAUGAUGUCUAACCAGCACUGAGCACAAAGCAUCUCCUGGUUUUUGUUUUAUUAGCAAGAUUAAACCAGAAAACAAACAAAGUGCCUCGAAUCAUGUCAUGGCUCUCAUAUAAUACCACGUUUCCAUUCUCAUAUAUAUGAAGUAAUCUUUGUAUGAACUUAAACUUUUCACUCAGUUAAUUCCCAAGCAACUCAUCUAAGAUUCUAAGAUUUGAAUACAGUAACUUUGAUCUCUCCCAAGAGUUACUGAUUAGAAUUAUACCCGCGCCUUAGCGCAAUGUAUACAUUUACGGUGUGUUUGGAUGUGGGUGAAUUUCCGAGAAUUUAAUAAAAAAUAAGGAAUUCUCAAUUUCUUAGGACGGUUUUCCUCGUUUGGAUACUUAUCUCAUGGAAUUAGCAAUUUUCACAGGAAAAUAAUCGUGAAAUUUGAGAGCUUAAAUUCCCGACUUGAAUUCCUUACAAAAUAAGCAUCAUUUGUCAAUUUCUUUAACUAAGAUUAGUCUGAAUACAAAUUCUUGUCAUUUUAAAACUCUACAUCAUGAAAUCCAAACAAUGAAAUUCUCAAUUAAUAGGAUUUAAAUUCAUGGAAUUGUAUUUUGAAAUUUCUAUGGACACAUCAUGAAAUUCAAACAAUGGAAUUCUCAAUUAAUAGGAUUUAAAUUCAUGACAUUGUAAUUCCCAUAAUUUUAAAAUUUCUAUGGACAUUAAAAUUACUUUAUCCAAAAACAACGUUAUGAAGCUGGUCAAUGGGUUAAUUGAUUGAUAUAAAUGUUUCUGAUAUGUACUUCAUAGAAUGUNNNNNNNNNNNNNNNNNNNNNNNNNNNNNNNNNNNNNNNNNNNNNNNNNNNNNNNNNNNNNNNNNNNNNNNNNNNNNNNNNNNNNNNNNNNNNNNNNNNNNNNNNNNNNNNNNNNNNNNNNNNNNNNNNNNNNNNNNNNNNNNNNNNNNNNNNNNNNNNNNNNNNNNNNNNNNNNNNNNNNNNNNNNNNNNNNNNNNNNNNNNNNNNNNNNNNNNNNNNNNNNNNNNNNNNNNNNNNNNNNNNNNNNNNNNNNNNNNNNNNNNNNNNNNNNNNNNNNNNNNNNNNNNNNNNNNNNNNNNNNNNNNNNNNNNNNNNNNNNNNNNNNNNNNNNNNNNNNNNNNNNNNNNNNNNNNNNNNNNNNNNNNNNNNNNNNNNNNNNNNNNNNNNNNNNNNNNNNNNNNNNNNNNNNNNNNNNNNNNNNNNNNNNNNNNNNNNNNNNNNNNNNNNNNNNNNNNNNNNNNNNNNNNNNNNNNNNNNNNNNNNNNNNNNNNNNNNNNNNNNNNNNNNNNNNNNNNNNNNNNNNNNNNNNNNNNNNNNNNNNNNNNNNNNNNNNNNNNNNNNNNNNNNNNNNNNNNNNNNNNNNNNNNNNNNNNNNNNAUGAUGAUUAAUAUGCUAUUACAUUUUACCAAUAUCAUUUAAAUGACAUGUUAUAACCAAUACGAUAUUUCUCUUCACAAUGUUAGAUGAGGUUUAAAGUUAUAUCAUAUAAUGUAUUUUUAUUUAUGUGUCACAACAUAAUUCACAAAUGACAUAAUUGGGUUUUAAAAAAAACACAGUUGCUGUUUUUAUGUUUUCUGUACGAGUAAUUUUAAAUACACACCCCUAAUAUCUUAAUACACACCCCUUACUUAAUACAUUACCCAUCUAGUCAAUAUUAUACUAAAUACACAUCCCAAACUGCCUAAAAUACCCUCGAUAUCUAAAAAUAAUAAUAAUUUGUAUUUAAUAUAAUUAUCAUAUAUUCACAACUCUUUUUAUGUAUUCUCUUUUAUUUUCUGUUAGAUUUUUUUUUAUCAGGUUAGAAAAUUUUUCUUGAUAUUUUUCAAUUUAUAAUCAAAAUGGUGAUAUUAUAUUCGAACUCCGAAUCUCCAAUAUGACAUCAAUUAGCUUGAAUUUGAAGAAAAAAAUAAUAAUUGAACAUACAUAAUUUUUUCAAAGUUAAGAAACUAGUAGAAGUAUAAUAACAUAAAAACUAGUUUUUAGUCUGCAAGAUAAAAACUAAAGUUGUACAUGUGAUUAUGACAGUAUUUGAAAUUCAGGUGAUGAAUUUUGGAGAAACAGUUUUUAUUUAUUUUCUUUUGAUACGUAGUAAUAAUGGAGAAGAGUUAGGUUUUUAGAAAAAAAUGAAGUUUCUUUUUUUUCUUUUUUUUCCCUAAUAAUUGAUGGAUGUUUUUGUAAUUAAGCAUACCUAUAAAAUCUGAUGUGAAAUAUAAAAUAAUAGGGAUGUGUAUUAAGAUAUUAGAGGUGUGUAUUUAAAAUUUCUCUUGUUUUUAUUUGUAAGAUUUAGGAGACAGAAGAAAAGUCUAAAUUACAUGUCUAGAAAAUCUAAAUUACCUAUCUAGUCUUGUAUCCUAUCUAGAAAAAUCUAAAGAGAAAUUUUAAAUACACACCCCUAAUCUUUUAAUACACACCUCUAUUAUUUUAUGUUUCUAUUGAAAUUUUAUAGGUAAGCUAAAUGACCAAAACAAACAUCUAUUAUUAAAAAAAAAUAAUACACGCUGGAAGUAUUCUUUUCUAACAUCUUCUACCCUAAAAUCGUCGAAAGCACGUCUUCUCCCCUAACCUCAACUCUUCUCCACAAUUCAUUUGGGUUGUUUCUUUUUUUUUUUNNNNNNNNNNNNNNNNNNNNGAACAGGGUAAAAACACUGUUCAUAGGCUGAAUACAAAUUCUAAAAUUCCCGAUUUGAAUUCCUCAUAAAGUAAGCGUCAUUUAUCAAUUCCCUUAACUAAGGUUAGUCUGAGUACAAAUUUUUGUCAUUUUAAAACUCUACAUCAUGAAAUCCAAACAAUGAAAUUCUUAAUUAAUAGGAUUUAAAUUCAUGAAAUAGUAAUUCUUAUAAUUUUAAAAUUCUAUGGACAUUAAAAUUACUUUAUCCAAAAACAACGUUAUGAAGCUGGUCAAUGGGUUAAUUGAUUGAUAGAAAUGUUUCUGAUAUGUACUUCAUAGAAUAUUAUACAUACAAAUUAUACCCAGCUAUUAUACUGAUUAUAUAUCUAGGGUUAAUGAAAAUAUUGUGGUUUCUUAAAAAUAACAGGGACAAAAUUCUUGGUGUGGUGUAGUUUCCACGUUAUGCAUAUUCCACUUAUGUAUAAGAGUUAUCACAAAAACAACUUUUAUACAACAAAACAUCUAGUAUUGUAUUUUACCCAAAAUAUAAAUGCUCUAAUUAUUUUGAUUUGUAAGAUUCAUGAUGCAGAAGAAAAGUAAAAAAUGGAAGGCAAAAAAAUCUUUGCUAAGAGAAAGCUUAUCUAAAAAAAAUCUAAAUUACCUGUUUUCAACAAAAAAAAAAAAAUCACUGUUCAUAUGCCUAUGAUAUGAACAGUCGACCAAGCUUUAGUAAUAGAUAAAUUAGCGCCAACUGUCAAGAGGACAAAUUUUUGCUGGCUUGCUUUAACCUCAUUUUUCCAUUUUUUAAUAAGGGUACGUAGCCAAGUUUCUAUUUUCUUGCCCACAGAAUUUGGCCCCAGAUCGUUUUCUUGACUUCACUAUCUUUGGUUUUUUCUUCGACAAUAGUAUUUGAGGCACCAACUUCUGUCUCAUCGGAUUUACAUUAAUCACAAGAAUAUCAUGAAAGUUAUUGUGACCUAAACGCUUGCGCCACAACCCUAAUUAAGACAUCAUUACCGACUUUAAUAGGCUUUCCCAUUAGUGGUUUUUUUGUUUCGAUACAAGGAAUAAGUCAUUAGUGGUUUCUCUUGCGUGCAUUUGUGUAAUUGCAACAAAAUAGAACCCCCUAGAGUAAAAGAAAAUUACCUAUGUAAAUGUGUAAUUAAGCAGCAUUGAAUCAAUUAGCAGAGGGAAAUCUUUUAAUCUCGGACAACAAUAAAGGUAAAUUUAUACAACGUUUAUGAACACAUUAUACAAAUAUGAUCCUCUAUAUCCUUCAAAUAAAACUACAAGAAAGUAAAUUUCCUUGGUCGACCAAAAGAAAACACACAGAGUUGUUACCAAAAUAGCAUCUCAGAAACAUCAUAUUGAGAAGACAAAGUCAUUAAUUUACUCAUCUGCAGUAAGAGAAGAGUCGUCUUAUCCAAAUUUUUUGGGGAGGCAGACACAGUCAGCUACGCGGUUUCCAUUAUAACUGCCGAACAUAAUUCCGGUAAAUAUAGCAAAACACAAGGCCAACUUAAUCCAAAACCUUAAUUUUAUAGACACUUGCUAAAAUUCAGUGCGAGAUUUUAUCCAAAAAGAAAAAAUGUGGAUAAGGUAAAGUCCAAAUCAGAAAAGACCCCACCUACCACAUUUUCUAUAUACAGCUUCUUUCUAUUUCUCCCCCUCCUCCUCCUCCUCCUCCUAGUUUUCCAAGAUUAACAUCCACAGCUCUCUUUUUCUCUCCAUCUGUCUUACCCAAUUCAAGCUAGUCAAAAAGACCGCACCUUUUCGUUUAAAGCUUCACUUUUGGCUCAUAAAGCUCAAGUCUUGAUCAAGAUUUUGAGGGAUUUUGAUUCAAGAAACAAGAGGUGAAGUGGGUUCUUGUGGGUUUUUGCCGUUUGUGUCUGAAAAGGGGAUUCAGAUUUGACAUAUUCAACAUGGCAAUUGCUUCAAAGUGUGGUUUGUACAUUUCUGGGGUUCAUGAGAUUAGUCUGCGCUCCAAAUCCAGAGAAUCAAAUUCCAGAGCUUUUCCGGUUUUGGGUGUUGAAUUUUUGGGAAAACCCAUCUCAGAUUACAAGGGCUUAAAGAAUUUGAGGGCCAAGGCCCCCAGAAAUUUAUCUGUUCAUGUAUGUAAAGCUUUCUGCUUUUCAAUCUUAUUAGCUUUAAUUUUAGGAAUUUUUUGUGUUCAAGUUUUACAUGUUACUAAUGGUGUGUAAAUGUAUCUGGGUUCAGGCUCAAGCAUCAAUCUGUGUAAGCAAAGCUAUGAAAUGGUGGGAGAAAACCCUAAAACCCAACAUGGUGGAGAUCCAUUCUGCUCAAGAACUCAUUGAUUCUUUGCAUACUGCGGGUGAUAGAUUGGUUGUAGUGGAUUUUUACUCACCUGGUUGUGGAGGUUGCAGAGCUCUCCAUCCCAAGGUAUAUUUCAUAAAUUCAUAAUUCAAUUUAGAAUUAAAAAAAUUUUCCUUUUGAAAAAUUAUAGCAUGUCUAAUUUUAGCUUGGAGCAUUUUGGGAUAUAUGUUUACCAAUAACUUUGUGAAUUUGUUCAGAUCUGUCAGCUGGCUGAACAGAAUCCAGAUGCAAUUUUUCUCAAGGUUAACUAUGAAGAGCUCAAGACUAUGUGCCAUGGUCUCCACAUUCAUGUGCUUCCAUUCUUUAGGUUUUAUAGAGGCGCUGAAGGGCGAGUGUGUAGCUUCAGCUGCACCAAUGCCACUGUAAGUGUUGCAUUUCCUUCAAUGUUGGUUUGUCAUAAUCGAUUAAAUUGGUGUGUAUUUAUGGUUGAAUUAUGCUAAUUGGAUUCGUUGCUUUACAGAUCAAGAAAUUCAAAGAUGCAUUAGCUAAAUAUGGGGCUGAGGGUUGUAGUCUUGGCCCUGCAAAAGGUUUAGACGAGUCUGAGAUAUUACACUUGGCUGAGAUAGGUGAGAUAUCAGCAAGAUCUUCUCCACCAUCAACCAAAGAAGAGAGAGUGGAGGAGGAUUUGAUCAUGAAAAGUAUAGAUUUGUCUGGUGUUUGGAGUAAUGUUAUCCAUAACCAUGACAUAGAACUCGCAGAAGAAGAAAGUGCCUUGCUAAAGAUUUGAAACAGUUUAGGCAUGUUGGAGUAAAGCAGCUCCAGUUUUGUGACUUUUGUCAUACCAAUUUGUCUGCUUGGUGUUGUAAAUACAUCAUUACUAUUAGGUUUUCCAUAAGCAGGGUUCUGAUCUUUUUAACAUAGAACCCUGCAUUUUGUUAAUCUGUUAUUGGAUUUGAGAUUGUAGUAGAUCUGAUUGAGAGCUUGAUACAGAUCUAGAUUGUUACCUGUGUCAAUUUGUUUUGGUUACCUACAAUAUAUUAGUGAAUCUUGAAUGGGGUCAUGGCAAUGAUCUUUUUCCAAGUUAGAAACUUUCCUGUCAAAUAAUUCCAGGAUUUCCAGCUAUGAGUCGGACCAGUUCAAAACAUGAGUAAAGUUGAUAUGAGUUGGUUUGUCAUUUGUGGCCAGCCUUGAAUUGUUGACAAUGCUGGUAUUCUAUGAACAUUCAAAAACUUGGAUUUCUCUUUGUUCUACAUUUUGAAUUUGAAAAUGAAAGCAAAGCUUUGGGUAAUGAUUUGGCUCUUUUGGAGGUGGGAUCUUCUUCAUUGGGAUUUAUCUGUCCAUUGUGGGAAUCAAUGUGGGGGUUGGAGGUUAACAGACUAAUUUCCAAAGUUUUAGAUAUUCCUUUUUAAUGUCAUUUUCCACUUCCUCAAAAGUUCAUUUCCAAAGUAUAAUUCAUGAGAGAAAACUCAUUUUUCUCAUUUUAACUUUGUAAUUGGUUGGUGACAGAGAACCUAACAUCUGAAAUAGUGUGACAAUUGAGGUGUAAAUCAAGUCCCAUCAUUAUCAUGCUAACUCAAAAGCUAAAUUAGUUAGGUUAAUGCAUUUUCUGGUAUGAUUGUAUGAAUCAGAUAUGUAAGUUUUUCUUUUUGAGUAAAAACCAAACAUAGAAUUCGAGUUACUAAAGGUAAAUUUUGGAGAAAGAAAUGUUUCAACCAACAACUCCAACAAAGAAAGAGGUAUUCAAUUGCCAAACACAAUAGAAAACACAAAGUUGAAAACGAGUUUUAUGGGACAGAUACAAUGGGAGUGAUGUGGAUGACCCAGAAUCCGACUCAGCAUGACCCAGAAUCCGACUCAGCAUGGGUCCGAAGGAGGAUAUAAUAAUAUGACUGCAAAAUCUGAAACAAUGGGCAAGUGGUUUGAGGCACCAUCUAUAUCAUUUGCAGUAUGUAGAAGCUCUGACUGAAUCCAUAUCCAAUCCAGCACACAGUUCGGUUUUCAGUUUCCUCUUCCAUGAUAAUGGAUAGGGGAAAAUGGAUAUUUCUCUUUCUUCCUCCACAUGGAAAUUCAUAUCAUAAUACAUAAUUGGUACAGGCUUGCUCACCAUAUGAAUUGCUGAUAUUCCACCACAUAUGACUUGGUAAUAAUCGUUCUCUUUAGGUGCAGCAACUUAUUUACCACAUACAAGUGAUUUAACAGUUUGUCAUGUGUGUUAACUGGCUGCAGAAUCAUCAUUCACUCGAAGCUAAAGUGGUUUUACAGUUUAACUUAUAAGAGAGUGUUUUGUUUGUGGUUUUUACCUAAUUCAACUUCUUGAUAUGGUUUUCUCAAUAUACAAAUCCAUCAAUUAUGUGUUGUGGAAAAUGAUUGGUUUCAUCUAGAACUGAUCAAUUCGGCCACACUAAAAUUACCUUUCAAGUGAUUUUCAUCAUCCAAUUAGUUCUAGAGAAACUACUGCUUAUUUAGGACGCACAUAUUGUCAUCCAAUAUGUUAGACACCAGCCGAUUGAACUAUUUCAAUAGAAAAAUUACAAAAGAAUGAAAAGAUAGAACACAAUACACAUAACAAACCGAGAAUACCAAACUUAAGAAGUAGCAGAAUAUAUCAUAACGAGGACAACAAUGAGAAACAAUAUUUUCAAGCAGCGAGUGAGAAAAUAUUAUCAAACUUGCAAUUCCUAGUAUUUUCCAAGCGUCAAUCUUUAUUCAAAAUAGAAUAUAUGGCCGGAAACCUAAUCUAAAAGCUGGAUUACAAUAUCAAUCCCAUUAUACUCGCUCUUAAGCACUCCCUCUUCUCUAGUUGUAAACCAACCACUCAUCUCCCUGAACGAAAUUCUGCACGGAAUAAGCAUCAACAUGCUCGGCCGGAAUCUCACUACUCCACUUCACCCUCCCGGCCAAAUCUGCCCCCGGUCCCGAGUUCCCAUACUCCCCAUAGUAAAGUGUCGCCAAAGCAAACUGGUCACUCCAAGGCAUCCACCCUUCCUUUGAAACCAGACCUUCCAUGCUACAAUUCAAGAACACCGUCCUCGAAAACUCCUUCCAUGGCCUCCCUAAGUAGUUCAAAUGCACUUUGGGAUCCUUUUUGUACAACUUCAUGUACUCUUCCGUCCCGUUAAUGAAGCAGUUCCGGAACACGAACCCCGUCGCCUGCGCCGGGUCUGUCCUGCCGUGAGCCGUCACGGCGUUCUUCUCCCCUUUCUCUGGGGUCACUUCCCUAGACUCGAUGAGGAUGGUGCAGUUGUCGAACAUGGCAGCCGCAUUUCCGAAUAUGAAGUCGACAUUGCCUUGGAUUCUGCAUGACUUGUAGAGCUGGCGGUUGCUACGAGCGUAGAGAGUGUCUUGGUGCCCAAGGAACUCACAGUCCUCGAUGAUAGAGCGAUCACUGUCUGAUCGGAAAGCCACCGCCUGGUGGACCUCCUGCUUGGCGUCGGGGCCGGCCUUGUUCUCAAAUGUGACGCCGCUGGCCAUGAAGCCGUCGCCGUAAACAGCCACGGUGGCGGAGUUGUACGUCCCAAUUCCUGGCAGGCCCACAUACAAAGACCCUGUAAUUACUGUUUUGCCCAUGCCUUCCCCUAGAAACACAACAUUCCUCUUCUCUAGAGGAAUCCCAACAAUCUCUUCAUACACCCCGGCAUUUAUCUUAAUCACAAAAAAUUCGUUGGAAUUUUCCGGCGCCGCGUCCACCGCUGCCUGUAUGGUCCGGUAACAGUCAGUUUUAUCAUCCUUACAAACAGUCACGUUCACCGUCAGAUCUUUUGGUACAGAAUAGUCUGAGGACGAAUUGUUAGAGAGCGUGACCUGCCAUAAUCCGUCACGCUCGGUUUUGGGCGGGGACCAAGACUUGGUGUCGUUUCCAAAGUUUUCAUACGAAAAGAUCAUGCUGAGGGCGUUGCUGGUGUCGACGGUCAGGGAGUCGUUGAUGAAUGACAUGGUGGAGAUGACCAACUGGGUGUCGUUGGCGUACUUGAAGGCGUACCAGCAGUCAAACUGGUAGAUCAGGGCGGAGCUCAUGGCGGCGCGUGCGGUUUUGGUCCGGCCAUUUUUGAGGGCGUCCUGGGAGAGUAAUAUGCGGUACUCGGAGUUUUGUAGAUUAAUAAUGCAAUUUUUGGCGCCGGUUGUACGGUUCACGCUGCCGGCGGCGGAGUUGAGAAUGUCGGCCACCAUAUUUUGGGCGGUUUUGAGGCCGUUGAAGGAGACAUUGAGGGCUAGCUGGAGAGUUUGGAGAGGGCUAGGGUCAGAGGGAAGGUCAUGGGUUUUAUUUGACAAGGAGGCCUUGCAGGUGUCAGGGAAGCGGGUGGCUUUGCAGGCUUGGUCGAUCGGAGAUGAGGCGGCGAGUUUGGAGUCUGAGAGGAAGCGAGUGGCGGAUGAAAGGGUGAGGGAGAGAGUAAGGGUGAGCGUGAGGAGAAAAAACCGGGAUGCCAUUGACUCCACAGAGCAAUUGUAAUGUUUUGAGAUUUGAUUGUUCUUAGGAGCUGUUAAUAGGCAAUGCAAAAAUUCAAAUUAGGGAAGUUAAUGAAACCUAGCGUUACCAGGAUAGCAACAAGAUCCCGAUAAAAAUAGGAAGGUUGUUGACUUGUUGUACCCGUAUUAAACUAUAGUUAAUUUUCACAGGAACAGAAGUUUCAUAGGCAAUGUAUCCGUUAGAUUGUUCUUCAUGAGAUUUUAUACCAUAUAAAAUACGUUGAUACUUAAUUGGGUCAAAAGAAAUGUAGUAAUCCAUUUCCCAAUCACAAAAGGUAAACUUAAUCUCAUUAAUCGGUGGUCAUAAUGCAGAUCCCGAAUUUUGUUUUCUUUGAAUUUUUUGUUGAGAUGAUCAUUAAUUUACAAUGCUCAAUCGCAUUUUCCGGGUUGUAAUAUCAAUUUGGGUCCUAACCAUUCCUUUUGAGGCGGAGUAUAUAUGCUAGUAUAAUGAGUUAUUGACAUAGAGGCGCCCUACGGUAUAACAACUAACAUGAACCUUAUGGCCCAAGGGCCCAAUGAAUAUAUCAUUACCCAAAACCAUGAAGUAACUAGUAUCAACUAUAAAGUGUCUCAGCUAAACUUAGAUGCUACAGUUAAUAUGUUUAUUUCAAAUGGUUCAUGGGACCUAACUACUAUUGAGAACUUCUUUUACAGGAUCACCUUGGAUACUAUACGAUCUAGUCUCAUCUAUGUUGCUAAUAAACAAGAUGAAGUGAUUUGGGGCCUUACUAGCUCUGGGAUUUUUAUUUUUUUAUUUUAUUAAAACAGCUUAUGGCCUUCUGAUCUGCAUUAUACGGAAGUCCAUUGCCACAGAUAUGGAAAACUCUCUCCCGAUCCAUAACUCUUCCAACCUCUUCCAACGACCCUACUUUUAUAAAGUGGGAUCCUCCCCCUGCACAUGCCGACAAGCUUAAAUUUGACGGAUCAGUGCACAAUCUUUCAGCACCAGCAGCAGCAGGCGGGCUUUGUUGUCCGUAACUCCUUAGACCAUCUCUUAUUAAAAAGUUAAAUUUAACCUAUGUUUACUCUCAUCAUAAGCUAAAUUACAUUUUCUAAGAUAAAAAAUUUGGCUUGAGCUAUUUGGCUUAUGAAGUUUGUAAGCUAAAAUUAAAUGUUAUUUUAUUUAACUUUACAUUUCUCCUUUUAAUUUACACUAUCAUUAAAAUUAAAAAUUCGUUACUCACAACCAUCGCGAAAAUCUAGACGAGAUCUUUCAUAUGAGCUCCGUAUCAAAUAUAUUUAUAUAAUAUUUUUUUAUGAGUAAUUAUUGAUUUAAACAAAUAUAUGAAAAAAGAAAAAUAAAUGACUUUACCUUGGAUUUAGCUUAUGGUGGGAGUGUUUUUUAAAACCAGAAGGCUAUAAAUUUGGCUAAGGAUUUAGUUUAUGGUGGGAGACUCUGGUAAGCUAAAAAAAGAUUCCACAAAAUAUUCUUGUUUUAUAAGUUAAAUUUGGCUAAGAAUUUAGCCUACCAUGGGAGAUGCUCUUAGGCCAGCCAAUUGUUGCAGCUUCAAAGAACCUCGGGUUUGCUAAUGUCCUCGUUGCUGAGGCACAUGCUCUGAGGGAAGGUUUACUACAGCUUUAACAACAACAUCACUUCUCCGGCCUUAUGAGCAUCUUCUAUUCUACUGUAAGUCAAAUUUCAAACCAAAUUUAGCUUACAAAACAAGAGUCUUUUAUAGAAUUUUUUUAGUUUACCAAAUUCUGUCAUCAUAAAUUAAAUCCUUGGCUAAAUUAAGAAUAUUUUGGCUUACAGUAGGAGUGCUAAAAUCCAAGCACUCCCACCGUAAGCCAAAUCCUAAGGUAAAACCAUUUUUUUUCUUUUGUUAUAUAUUUGUUUAAUUCAAUAAUUAACCAUGAAAGAUAUUUUAUAUAAACAUAUUCGAUAUGAGGCUCAUACGAAAGAUCUCGUUACGAUGGUAUAAAAUUUUGUUAGUAACAAAUUUUUAAUUUAGAUGCUAAUGUAAAUUAGAAGAACAAUAUUUAAAGCUAAAUAAAAUAAUACUUAACUUUAGCCUAUCCACCUCAUAAACCAAAUUUGACUUAUAAAAUAUCUCAAACUAAAUAUUUUACCUUGACCUUUACGAUUGUAAUUUGACUUAUGAUAAGGGCAACUAGGCUAAAUUUGGCUUUUUGGUCUUAUCAAGUUAUGCAAUUCGAAGAUUAUAAUUGAUGUCUUGAUGAAUGGAAUAUCCUUGGCAAAUCAAAGUCCCUGUGCAUAUGAUAUCCAGCAUCUCACUGGCCAGUUUGCAGCUGUUUCAUUUCAUCACAUACGGAGAACAGCAAAUUUUCUAGCAAAUACUUCAGCGUCUUCAGGUCACCCUGUUUCUGAUUCUUGUAUUUGGUUGUCUCAGCUACAUCCUCAAGCACAGCCAACGUUCCAUUUCAACUAAAUGGGAACUGGUUGUGCUCAAGGGUUCUCUUUGUAACUUCUAGUUUUUCAAUAAAAAAAACAUAAGAGCAAGUUUAUAAGACUGUACGGGAAUGAAAUGAGUUCUGAUGAUUUUACACAUGAAAGCAAGUUUAAUGAGACGUGACUUUUAACUGGGUUAAUACGAACAUAAUUGCAAAAAAACAACAAUUGCUUAUAGUUUGGUGUGAUAGGGUUUAGGGUAACCUAAGUAAGAGUUAUGUUAUAAGGAUGAGCAGUUACGUCCUUUCAGAUGUUUCCUAUUGCCUAUCAGUUUUGGCUAAAUUGGCUUCUCAGAUAACAGAAUCACAAAGUUCUUGAUUGAACUCAAUUGUCAGUUGUCAGUUGAAACAGAAAACCAGGCACCUGGAGAAGCACAGAAUCUUAGUUGUCAGUUGAAACAGAAAAUAAAAUGACGGUGAUAUUACAUUGAAAGAACAAACAAACUCAUUACAAAGUCAAGAAUAUUGAUUGUGAAAAAGCCUUCAUAUACUAUCCAGCGGUGUGAAAGUAAUUUCAUGAUGUGCUUUUGGAGCCAGUACUAAGUCAAGCUUCCACAAAAACACAUUUCAAAUCUCCGUUCUUUGAUUCAAUCAUCAGGCUUCUCCAAAACAAUGGCACAAAAGGAAAGACAACACCAAAAUCAUGACACAGUUGUACCAACUUCAACAAACAAAAAUCAAAGACAUCAAGAACAAACACAGAUGGAUAUAUUGCCUCAGAGGUAGUGACAACAAUGACAUAUAUCAUCAUACUUGAUAUCUGAUAAUACGUGCAUAAAAGCAUCAUCGGCAAGAAUAAACCAUCGAAACCUCUGCAUUAGAAAAAUCCCCAAAAGGGAGCAUCGGAUUCAUACCUUUAGAACAGAAUUUCAAUUUCAAUGAAUUUGUUUAACUUUGAAUAAAUUGAAGAGAAAAAAACAGUUAUAUGCAUCAGAGAGAUUCCCAUUAGAACAAGUCAUCAAUCUCCGUAGAGUGCAGAUGUCCCUGUCUGUUUUCUCAUCACUCGCAACCCAUAGAAACAAACAGAUCUGAGCGAAACAUAAAAGAGACCAAACCAAACUGUACAGAAUAGAAAAUAUUGAAGAGCCGGUUGCCUCAGAAGUGAAGUUCUUUUCAUAGAAGUUAAUCUGCAAAGUAUAUUUAACACCAUCACAGGCAUCGGCUAAAAUCACAACAAAAAACAGAACCGAAAUAGGAACAAGAACAAUACAGAACCGAAACAGGAAUAAGAACAAUACUAGAUUACUACCAUGGAAUUGAUAGACCAAAGACCAAAUACUGGUUCUGGGUUACGAGCAUCAAACAUGAUAGCCCCAGGGCCGAGGGGAAGAAGACGCUAGAGCAGAGGAAGGCGGGGAAUAGAAGAUUGUGAGUUAGGGUUUUAGGUUGUAGUGGGUAUAUAUAGUGGCAGACUGGGCAAUUAGGGCGCAACACUAUUCGGCCCACUUCGAUAGUCACCAUGGAAUACGGACAUCUAGUGAAAAGGCCCACAGUUAGUUAAAUUAAAAUGUCUCUGAAUUAUAGUUAAGAUUAUAUUGACAAGCCCAAUACCGUAUAGUCUAAUAACAUAAGCCUUUCAUUAUAAGCUAGAGGUCGUGAGUUCAACUCACAGUAGAUUCGUUAUAUCAUAUUAGUUAUUUAUUUGAUAAAAAAAAUUACACAGAAGAUAUUGUCCAUUAAACCUAGUAGUCGAAUAUUGUAGCUUGGACGUUUAACGAUUGGAACACUCUCCUCUACCUCUCCUCCAAUUCUUUCAUUUCCGAAUAUGUUUCCUUUAUUUUUCUCUCACCUUGGUUCUGAGAAACCCUAAGAGAGAGAAUGUGAAACUCUGAGAUGGAGGUGAAGAAAGAGAGAAGAUAUAGGUUUGGAUUUUGGUUUAUGGGCAAAGGAUAUUUUUUUUUUGGGAAAUAAAUGUUACUCAUCGGUCGUACAACCCAUUCAAUUAACAAAAGCCAAACUACUAACUGGCCAAAAGCCCUGCCUGGUCAAGCAUAAUAUAAAAUGAAACAAAAUUUAGACCUCAAAUAGUCAUUAUUCCUAAAAAAAACGAGAUGCUAAAAACUAAAGUCUAAACAAGUGGACAAACUGAAAACUAUAACUAAUAAUAAAACUUACAAAGAAUAAAGUCAACAUAUAACCUUAAUUCUCCACAUCUGCCUGAAAUAGCCUUCCACCGGUCAACACAGUAAACAUCAUUGAGACAAGUUCACGUUGCAGCCCAGAUAGGAAGAGGAAGAUAAUAGGCAUCCAAAGCCCAAUGCCUAAGGCCCCAUAAGAAGCCCAAGAAGCAAGAGGCUUAACACUUUAACAGCCCAAAGCCAUUCGUCUUCCCUCCUCUUUCAGUCCACCACCAUACCAGACACGAGAUGCUUUUCACAGCCGUUCCAGCGGCCAACCUCGAUCUUCCACCAUUCGGUCCAAUCUCCUAGAGAACUGAGCCGCGCCCCACAACACCCAAAAGCAACCUGACAUGCCGCCUCUAAGCAAGCAACAACUAUAGGCGCGCUUCCUUAACCUCUAAAAACUGCUCAAGAAUAGCCAUCAGUCAUAUCCAAAGCAAGCGCCUCCUGCUUGCCCAUCGCCUUCUCCCACCUUGGUGACCAAAACAUAAACCAACGCACCGACUCCCUUAGAACAUGAGAACCAACGCUGAUAUCAACUUUCAAACGAAUCCACACAGCGAAGACGAACACCGCUGCAACUCGGUGCGACCAUAAGGCAACCCUCUUUAUCAUCUAAACCAUGACGCUUGACGACGCACUUAUUGGCUGGAUGCGAAGGAAGAUGUGCCACCACCGCCAUGCUCACAAAAUCUAAGGGUUUCGUUGUAAUUUUUGGUCUUAUUCAUACUGCUUGGUUUCUAAGAAAAAGUUGACAUAGGAAGUUUUGGUUUUAUUUUUGUGAGAAAUGAAUAGUUCAUUACUUAAAUACAAUGCCUACAAACAGAAAAAAUAGCUGAAAAUGUAUUAAUAACAAAGAGCAUAGGUCUUCAACUAGAUCAAACUAGAAAGAGUGCGCAAUAUAUGGACUAGAGGCUCUACAACCAAAUAUAGAAAAUCAUCAAUACUAACAAUUCUAUCACGUACCCACCAUUCAUGCUCACUAGCAUCUAGUCGUCGUCAUCACCAAAAGCCAUGAGGUAAUGAGGAGUACCAAAUCGAAGCAUUGAUGCCGAGCAACUGAUGUCAAUAAAACUCUGAUGCACAGAUCAUAUAUAAACCCACGACCUAGAUGAAGACCUCCCUCAAAACAACACCAUACAAUAUCGAAACCCUAGCCAUGAAGUUGUGGCUGAUGAAAAAGGACCGAGAGCUAGAUCCAAGAACCAAAUUUAAAGAAAAAUGAGGGUGAUGAACCCACGCGUGAGCACACAUAAUCGAAUAGGUAAGUGCCAAAAUGCAUUUUAAGAGUGCAACAACACAAGCUCUCGUGAAUGUUGUUGAUUGUAUUGAUGAGUUAUUUUGGUGUUGGGUAACCAAAAAUCUGAAGAAGAAAAAAUUGGGAUUGUAGUGUGAGAAAUGGUGUCCUCCUUAUAUGGACUUAGCAAUUAUUGUCCACAAAGAUAUGAAAAUCACCACAAGGGUGACUUGGACCCACAAACAUGGAACCCGGGAUAACUUAAAACAUAAAAUAAAGAAAGCAAUUAAAAAAAUCCUUAUGUAUAUCCACAACCUAUUCCUAAGCCAAACCCAAAUCCAAAACCUAGGCUCAGACCCAAGCCCAAUGAACAUGAGGUCAAAGCCACACUAUAGGCCAAGGUUGACCAAGGGAAAAGAAAACCUAAAACACUUCUGCCUAGAUUAAAGGUAUUCAGGCCCAUGGAGCCAUGGUACCAAACCGCAAAACAAGAACUAGACCGGCGUUCCAGUGUUGUCCCCUACGUCACUCUGUCGAUAUCGAACUCCCACCACCAACAUGGAACAGUUGUGCCUACCAUUCACGCACCAGCCUUCAUGGUUGAGACUCGAUUCAAUAUCCGAGUUAAGAUAUGGAGAAACCGCAGCCUUACAGACCCUUCAGCAAGCCACCUCAUUGAAUCACCAACUCUAGUCAGACCACCGAUUUCCUAUUGCUCAUACCCCGCUUCGCUACACCUUUUAAGCACUGUUGAUAUUAGAAUGUUGCUUGCAUUAAAGAAUCUGUCGCCUUGCUUUCAUCAUCCUCGACUGCAACCAACCUUCAUCAGCAAUCGAUCUCAACUCUCAGCACACCAUUAAUCUGAUCGAACCAGGUUUCACCCACUGCCCUAAUUAGACAGGACCCAAAAAUAAUACCCUCAAAACAUGUCCAGGAUAGGUUAGCCAACAAGAACUAUCCCCCUACAAGAUUUACUACGGCCACCAUGGAUUCCUCAUCCCACGUUCCUCUUAAACCAGCAACAACAAACGCGUUCAUCGACGCAAAUUCGACCCGCAAUGUCAACUUUCAAAAGUUAAGCCACCAGCUCUUAAGGACCUCAAUCUCUCCAGCUCUUAAGGACCUCAAUCUCUCUAGCCACUUGACACCAACCCCAUCGAUCGAGAGUGAAACCGCCUCGAUCAAUAGACUCACUCUCACCCAAUAACAGAUCUCAUCCAGCGACAACGUUCGUGGACGCACCGUCGGAGAGAGGCUACACUUUGUUUUUGAAAACCCUAAGACAAUGUCGGAGGGGGUACCAGCCAAACAUGCAAUUGCCACAUGUCAGAAAUUUGCGUUGUUUCAGCCUCGAUACAUAAUUAGAAGUUUUCCGGUGAAAGACACAGUUUAAGUCUUUAAGUCUAUAAGACGAUUCUUAUUUACUACUCACAUUUUUUUAUCACAUAUUACAACUUCGUGAGUUGAACUCACAUCCUCCCACUUACUAAUUGGUGACUAUGUCGUUAGACCAAAUGGUACUGGGCUAGUUCGUACAUUUUUGCUAAAAGGUUUAAUCUAAUGUUUUGCUUGGAUUGUUUAGUGAAAGCUAAAUACCAUUUCUAUAUCAAUUUAUUACCCAUGGUUUAGCAUUGCUAGAGGCGUUCCUUGUCUAAAAAAUUUAACACCAUGGACAAGAUCUUUGAAAAAGUUUUAGAUUUACUCUAUGUAAAAGCGGUGCGUUUUAUUAUUAUUAUUAUUAUUUUUUAAUCAGGUAAAUUACAACUGCGUGAAUCGAACUCACAACCUCCUACUUACUAAAGAGGAGACUAUGUCGCUAGACCAAAUGAUACUGGGCUUUUAUUAUUUCAUUAUAGUAACGUAAUUAUUGACUAUUUUUCAAAAAUAUGGCAUUCAUUGCUCUCGGCCCCUGUCAGAGCAGGGGGAUGAAGCGGCGGGUGGGGCGGCAUCGGCGAAGGAAAGAGAGAGAGAGAGAGAGAGAGAGAGAGAGAGAGAGAGAGAGAGAGAGAGAGAAAGAGAGAGAGAGAGAGAGAGAGAGUUUUUAGAUCUGAGAGAUAAGAUAGGAGGAGGGUAAAGUAGACACUUUAUUAAGAAUCAUGGAAAAUGGGCCAUGAGAAAAGGUUUUCAUUGGAUCGGGAUUUAGGAACCCUAAUUUUGGGUAUUUUGGUAUUUUCCCAAUAAACAAAGCAAUUUAGAAAAGGGUGUGGCUAUUGCCACCCCACCAAAUGCUUUGUUCACCCCACAUUUCAAUUUUAAACUAAAUAUUCCAAUACUAACCCCACAAUCAAAAAUUUUUGUGAAAAUAUAAUAUUAAACUAAAAUUCAAACAACACCAAUUCUCUACAUCUUUACAUUGGAAAAAAAAAAACAAAAUCUCUACAUUUUUCAAAUCAGAUUUGAGAAUCACUUCAAUCUUCAACAUGGUGGUUAUACAGUGUGAUAUAUGAGAUUGUUCGUUCUUAUUUUUAUUUUAUUUAUGGCUUCAAACUUAGUAUUUCAUAUAUAUAUAUAUAUAAUAUUCAUAAUCGUAAAGAAAGAACUCAAGAAAAAGAUCGAGGAGACCAUAGGAUGUGGUUUGAGAAGAAUGGAGGUAUGCGUCAAUUAUAUUGAUGAAAUAUUUGUAUAUAUUUUACCAUUUUUGUAAUUGUAAGUUAAAAGAAAGAAAAUAAAAACUAGAUUUUCACAAAAUUUUAAUGGCAGAAUUAGAAUUUUAAAUGUGGGGUGAAUUGAGCAUUUAGUGGGGUGGAAAUAGCCGCACCCUUAAAAAAAUCCUCAUGUAUAUCCACAACCUAUUCCUGAGCCAAAACCAAAUCCAAAACCUAGGCUCAAGCCCAAGCCCAAUGAACAUGAGGUCAAAGCCACACCACAUGCCAAGGUUGACCAAGGGAAAAGAAAGCCCAAAACACUUCGGCCCAGAUUAAAGGUAUUCAGACCCAUGGAGCCGUGGUACCAAACUGCAGAACAAGAACCAGACUGUUGUUCCAGUGUUGUCCCCUACGUCACUCUGUCGAUAUCGAACUCUUACCACCAUCACGGAACGGUUGUGCCUACUAUUCACGCACCAGCCUUCAUGGUCGAGACUCGAUUCAAUAUCUGAAUUAAGAUGUGGAGAAACCCCAGCCUACAAUCCCUCCAGCGAGCCACCUCGUCGAAUCACCAACUCUAGCCAAACCACCAACUUCCUAUUGCUCAUACGCCGCUUCGCUACACCUCUUAAGCACUAUCGAUAUUAGAAUGUUGCUUGCAUAAUAGAAUCUGCCGCCUUGGUUUCAUCAUCCUCGACUGCAACCAACCUCCAUCAGCAACCGAUCCCAACUCUCAGCACACCAUUAAUCCGAUCGAAUCAGGUUUCACGCACCGCCCUAACCAGACAUGACCCAAAAGUAAUACCCUCAAAACAUGUCUAAGAUAGGUUAGCUAACAAGACCUUUUCCCCCCUACAAGAUUUACUACGGCCACCAUGGAUUCCUCAUCCCACGUUCCUCCUAAACCAGCAACAACAAACGCGUUCAUCAAACGCAAAUCCGACCCGCAACGUCGACUUUCAAAAGUUAAGCCGCCAGCUCUUAAGGACCUCAAUCUCUCCAGCCACUUGUCACCAACCCCAUCGAUCGAGAGUGAAACCGUCUCGAUCAAUAAACUCACUCUCACCCAAUAAUAGAUCUCAUCCAGUGACAACGUUCAUGGACGCACCGUUGGAGGGAGGCUACACUAUGUUUUUGAAAACCCUAAGACAACGAGUUGCCACAUGUCGGACAUUUGCGUUGUUUCAGCCUUGAUCCAUAAUUAGAAGUUUUCCGGUGAAAGACACGGUUUAAGUCUUUAAGUCUAUAUAAGACGAUUCUUAUUCACUACUUAGUGGAGUAUUAGUUCGUACAUUUUUUAUUAUCAUAUAUUACAACUUCGUGAUUCGAAUUCACAACCUCUCACUUACUAAUUGGUGACUAUGCUGCUAGACUAAAUGAUACUGGGCUAGUUCGUACAUUUUUGCUAAAAGGUUUAGUCUAAUGUUUUGCCUGGAUUGUUUAGUGAAAGCUAAAUACCAUUUCUAUAUCAAUUUAUUACCCAUGGUUUAGCAUUGCUAAAGGCGUUCCUUGUUUAAAAAAUUUAAUACCAUGGACAAGAUCUUUGAAAAAGUUUUAGAUUUACUCUGUGUAAAAGCUUGCGUUUUAUUAUUAUUAUUACUAUUUUUUAAUCAGGUAAAUUACAAUUGCGUGAGUCGAACUCACAACCUCCCACUUACUAAAGGAGAGAUUAUGUCACUAGACCAAAUGAUACUGGGCUUUUAUUAUUUCAUUAUAGUAACGUAAUUAUUGACUAUUUUUCAAAAAUAUGGCAUUCAUUGCUUUUAUUUUUGAAAUUACUGGUCUAUAAUAGUCCACUAAUACAUGAGUAGAGUGGACCACACAAAAAAGGGAAAAGCGAUAAUCUUCUAAAUUAUGUGCGGUCUCGACGUAAAUUGUUUUAAUUUUUAUAUCUUAUUUUAAGAAGAAAAUAAUCAAGAAUGAAACUCAUAUGUGAAAACAGUUUACUGUUUCUUAAACCAUGUAUUCUCCCACUGUUUUUCAAAACAACAGCACAAUCCAUUGUUUUUGCUUUAAAAACGGUCAAUCUAGAAUCAUCGACUAGCCUAUAAAAGGAACUCAAAAGGAGUAUGUUGUGCACUAAAGUUUUCAUUUCUCAUUAUCUUACUAAUUUCUUGGUUAAGUUCUAUUUUCACAACAUAAAUUAUGAUAGUCCAUGUUUUGAGAAUUGUCGGGUGUGAAGGUGAAGAGGAAGAUGAUGCAGCUAAAAAGAUCUUUAUAGCAGCUAAAUCAAUCAUCGAAUCUAUGAUUUACCAGAUCAAAGAGGUAUGAUACAUAUAUUAUUUACCAGAAAAAUCAAUGAUUGAUUCAAAAACUCUAACAAUAAAGUUGUGCUUAAAUGGUUCUCUACAGUAUUUCACACACGUACAAUCGAAGAUUGUAACGAGAUCAGUUCCUGAAAUUGUUAGGUUUAUCCUUUACGAGGUGACACCUAAACAAAUGAAGGAAGCCAACAAAAAACACAAAGCGAUAAGUAUAUCGGUGAGUUAUAUCAUGCAUGUUCCUAUUAUAUGGUAAUAGAUGAAUUGGAAAUACUAGGAACUUAAUUAUAUUUUAAAUAUGCAUGUUCACCAUAAUUGCGAUUGGUGUUCUCUUUAGGAUCCGGCUAAUGAGGGGGAGUCGUACAUGGAGAUGGUUUUACGUGUAGAAUGGGACGCUGAAAGAUCGAAGUGCUAUCAUAAAUGAAUUGAAGGAUCUUCAAAGAAGCAAAGAAGAAGAAAGUAAAUGUUUAUAAGAGUAUAUAAUAUUGCUUAUUCGGUCCUAGAAUCCUAGUUAGGAUUAAUCACUACAAGUGGCCUAUGUAAUACUCGAACAAAUUUAAAAGUUUUUAUAUAUUUAGAUAUGUGUGAGCCUCGAAAUCUUUAUUGAGAUUAAUCGUAGCAAUUUUGAUAAAUUAUUCAUCGGUCAAUAUUAGUGAUUAUUGAUUGAUCUGGUAUAAUCUUUCGUGUGACCUCAAAAUUAUUUGAUGAGUUGUAACAAAAAAAAAAAAUCUGAUGAGUUAAAGUGGGAUUGUUGAAAUGUAUUUUUGAACCUUGGUGGGUAAUAGAACGCUCGAGAAUUAUGAGCCCUGAAAAAUUUUGAGAUUAUUGAAGGAUUAUUUACGAUCUUAAUUGCAAAGUAAAUUCUCAAGGAUGUUUCUGAGAAAUUUUCGCAAGGUGAAAACUUUGAUAUAAGAUUCUGAUAUUAAUAUAUACGUAACGACGAGUUCGUGAGAAUUAUCUAGGAAUUUUUCAGAGUUCUGAGCUAUUUUCUAUGAAAUGUUUAAGUUUGGAAAUUAUAGAAAUUCAUUUAAAAUAAAAAUAGAAAAGGCACGAUGCAAUCUGGAUCGUCCUUUUUAUUAUCGAUUGAUCUGAGCCGUUCGAUCAAGUAUACACUGGGAACUUGGGAAGAGGUUGGUGAAGGAAGGGCGCUUUGAGAACUCUCGCCUUACUUUAGUAAGUCGGCGAACUGGGUCCUAGAUAAUCUAAGUGUUGGAGAUUGGGAGAGGGAGAGGGAGAGUUCUAGACUGAACUCGAAUCUUCGACUCUUUACUUUCCUCAAAACACCGACCUUCCACUGAGAUGGUAUCGGGGUGCUCCACCGCCAGACAACGUCAUGUCCGGCCACUUUACGACAGCGUACCGGCAUCUUUAGCUCUCUCUCUCUCUUGGCGGCUCAAAGAGGAAAAAGAAAGAAGCUUUUGGCACCACCAACCUCCUUCACUCUAUCUCUCUACCAACCUAUUUAAUUACAUCCUCUCCCUUUCUUUUCAAACGAAGUUCUGGACAAGGAAAUUAACUCGUUGAUUUUAGAGAUGACUCUGACAGUCUGUUGUUGCUCAAGAUCGACAUAGUUGAGAAAAUUCUCUAUCCCAAUAAUGAUGGUAAGCCUAAUCGGUACAAUUUAUAUUGUCAGCACUUUAAUUUUGGACUAUUGUUUAUUAAUCUGGGUCAAGAUGUUAAAAUCUAGUUGCUUCUCAACCUAGGUUCAAACCAAGAAGCUAUCAGUGCUCCGAUGCAUAUGAAACAUUUCACAUGCGUCGAAAGUAGAGGAAGCAUUUGAGGUGCCCUACCAUUGUCAUGAAAAAGUAGAAGAAAGAAAAUUGCUUCCAUUUUCUAUCUAAUGUAGCUUAGUUGUACGUUACUAACACAACGAUUUUGAUAAAUGCAUCGUGGUGAGAAAGCCUUCCUCUAGUCAUUAAUCGAUCAAAGAUUGUAACAGUUGACAUGAGUCGAGGGCCUCACACCCAAUUAGGAAGACCUGAGUAAUCAAUCAUGUUGGUGGCUCAUCAUACACUCAGAUCACUAUCAAUGAUUUGUGAACUCAUUCAUCCCAUUCCCAAAUAACAGUUUUUCUUUACACUUCUUCACUUCACAAUUGAUAUUUGCGUAUUAGCAUUUAGCUGGGAUCUCUCAUACAAACAGAAAAAUUCCAAAUGACAAGUCUGGAGAGUUGGUGGCUUGGUAUAGCUCCAUGCUACAAAAGUACAAAUACAAAGCCAAAAGGAACAAAGGCAUGCCAAUUCGACGAUUAACGGCAGUUAUUUCUUGAUAUCAAUAUGGCUUAGUAGCUUGGUCAAAACUACAUGAUGCAGCACCUAUACAAAUUGCACGUCCUACAAGUUCACAUAAUUUUUCUAUAUAAAAAUACUUGUAUUGAUAAAGGAUUAAUGGUAGAGACAAAGAGAUAGCAAGAGAAUCAUCAUCUUAUUCAUUGAUAGGAGCCCUUUAUAUAGGGAAUUACACAAUACCAAUAUGAUAAGGAUAUGAAUACAUAGAUCUAGUCUAACUACAUAUCCUAUUGACAUAAGGCCAAGACACACAUAGAGAAUAUCCUAGAACACUCCCCCUUGUGCCGCGCGCUGAUAUGCCGAUGGUGCUGAUCUGUUGCCUCGUCAAAAACCUCGUCAAGUCAUAAAAACCCUGUGGGAGAAAAACUGAACCUUGAUCGUAGGAGAAAAAGAGUACAACGCACCCUUCACAUUUGAUAGUGACAUGUAUGUAUGUGCUAGACUCCCCCUGAAGUUCGCACCUCUCCCUGAUCUUUACAUCAAUCAUAGGGCUCUUCCUGAUUCUUACAAAUCACGGAAAUUUCAAAAACUUAGCAUGUCAAUGCUCUUUAACAUGUCUUCAAAUGUGGCAUUGGGCAAUGAUUAACUAAAUCAUGCCGUAUUGUCCUCAAAUGAUCUUUUACACUUAGAUAUUGAGGAGAAGGUCGCUUGUGAACUCAAAACAUAAGUUCGUGCAGGAAAUCAGGUUUCCACGCAGCAUGACCUUCAAUUACUAGAACAGUCGUAAAUUCCUCUAGGAAAUACAUAUGAACGAACCGUAAACGGUUUUGGAAACUAGACUCAUUUAGCUUUCCAACCGUAUAUUACACACAUUCUGGUUCAUCAGGAGCUGUUCACAAAAUCCGGUCGAAGUUGACUGUUUUGCCAAAAUCAGAUUCUCGGACAGAUUCGUCAUACUUUACGAAAACGGCUAUAACUCACUCAAUAUGAUAGGUAUGAUCAAAUGGUUGGUGUCUCUGGAAAGUAGACACAUAGACCUUUCCAAUGGUACCAAUUUCACCAUUUUCCAGUGAGUGAGAUUUCCUAUAGGUCCCGUGGAAGUUGACCUACAAAACUUGGCAGAUUCUGAUUUCGCUAUUGAUGUGUCUUUCUUAUGUAGGGAUAGAAUAAGCCUCAACCUUUCAUACCAUUAAGUAUUGAAAAAUGAGUUACUGCCAUUACAUUGGCGUUGCGUGGGCGCAUAGCUACACUUAGCUUUACAACUUUUCAUAGCGAAUGAGAUGUCAAGUCUUUCGUAUUGUGUUGAGUACAUUGAUGCGUCUAAUUGUACUUAGAUGAGAACNNNNNNNNNNNNNNNNNNNNNNNNNNNNNNNNNNNNNNNNNNNNNNNNNNNNNNNNNNNNNNNNNNNNNNNNNNNNNNNNNNNNNNNNNNNNNNNNNNNNNNNNNNNNNNNNNNNNNNNNNNNNNNNNNNNNNNNNNNNNNNNNNNNNNNNNNNNNNNNNNNNNNNNNNNNNNNNNNNNNNNNNNNNNNNNNNNNNNNNNNNNNNNNNNNNNNNNNNNNNNNNNNNNNNNNNNNNNNNNNNNNNNNNNNNNNNNNNNNNNNNNNNNNNNNNNNNNNNNNNNNNNNNNNNNNNNNNNNNNNNNNNNNNNNNNNNNNNNNNNNNNNNNNNNNNNNNNNNNNNNNNNNNNNNNNNNNNNNNNNNNNNNNNNNNNNNNNNNNNNNNNNNNNNNNNNNNNNNNNNNNNNNNNNNNNNNNNNNNNNNNNNNNNNNNNNNNNNNNNNNNNNNNNNNNNNNNNNNNNNNNNNNNNNNNNNNNNNNNNNNNNNNNNNNNNNNNNNNNNNNNNNNNNNNNNNNNNNNNNNNNNNNNNNNNNNNNNNNNNNNNNNNNNNNNNNNNNNNNNNNNNNNNNNNNNNNNNNNNNNNNNNNNNNNNNNNNNNNNNNNNNNNNNNNNNNNNNNNNNNNNNNNNNNNNNNNNNNNNNNNNNNNNNNNNNNNNNNNNNNNNNNNNNNNNNNNNNNNNNNNNNNNNNNNNNNNNNNNNNNNNNNNNNNNNNNNNNNNNNNNNNNNNNNNNNNNNNNNNNNNNNNNNNNNNNNNNNNNNNNNNNNNNNNNNNNNNNNNNNNNNNNNNNNNNNNNNNNNNNAUCUAUAUGGAUUGGAUUUGACAUUGAGGCGUCCCCAAUGAUAAUCACAAUUCAGACUUCAUAAGACGGAUUUGAGUAUCACUGAUCAAUGGAUCAAGUUGUGCCAAGCUCGCUUUCUUUCUAGUGCAAGACAAUAUCGAACCUAAGGGCCUCCCUCCUUUUAGGGAGCCACACGGCCUUGUGACACCAAUUUUGCCACUAUAUGGCGUCACCAUAUCACCAUCCAUGGUGAUGGCGUCAAGACCAACACUUUUUGGUCGCGCCAUGUCCUUUUGUAGGACAUCAAUCCUUACAGACAUAUUUGCAGCAUGUGAUCUCGUCACUUUAACACUAUAAGCAUUUGGGAUCAAGAUGAGACUUACUGGGGACAAACCACGACAAUUCACGUCGUUCCACUUGAACACUUGUGUUCUUAUCUCCCCCUAACGGCGAGAAUAUUGUCUCAUCAAAGUGAGAAUCCGCAAUUUAGCGGUGAAUGAGAUCGCCUGACAAGGUUCCUACAUAUGCGGAUAAUAGGUGGAGGUUCAUAUCCAACCUAAACUUAUUCAUCUCAAAUGACCCAUCAUUGUACGCAGUGGCAAUGCGAUUUGGCACCUAGAAAUAACAUCUAGCCGAGCUGAAGGAUUGGAGAUCCGUUUCAAUUCUGCCGAGCUCAAGGAUAGCAAUUUCGUGUCAAUCCUGGUACACAGUCACGAGCUGUAGUACAACAAAAUUCAAUGAUGGUGGGUCGUAGAUGAAUAGUAAAGCUGCAUGCAAAUAUUUCAUAGCCCCAAGACGCAAUAGAAAGAGUGGUGCGCAUCAAUAAUGUUCGAGCGACAAGCUAAAGUUGCUUGGUCGUAGCCUCGGUGAGACCGUAUUGCGUGUGAACAUGGGGUACAGGACACUUCAACUUACAUCCCGAUGAACUUCUUUAAAGAAUGGGUAGUGAGCCCGUAGAAGUAUAAGCAGCAUAAGCAGUAGAUAAUAGUGUAACACGUGACCAGUGUGCUAACACUUCAACCAACACCAUAAAGCAUAAAAGGUGUCCGCAAGUUGGUUGUAUCUAUCUACAUANNNNNNNNNNNNNNNNNNNNNNNNNNNNNNNNNNNNNNNNNNNNNNNNNNNNNNNNNNNNNNNNNNNNNNNNNNNNNNNNNNNNNNNNNNNNNNNNNNNNNNNNNNNNNNNNNNNNNNNNNNNNNNNNNNNNNNNNNNNNNNNNNNNNNNNNNNNNNNNNNNNNNNNNNNNNNNNNNNNNNNNNNNNNNNNNNNNNNNNNNNNNNNNNNNNNNNNNNNNNNNNNNNNNNNNNNNNNNNNNNNNNNNNNNNNNNNNNNNNNNNNNNNNNNNNNNNNNNNNNNNNNNNNNNNNNNNNNNNNNNNNNNNNNNNNNNNNNNNNNNNNNNNNNNNNNNNNNNNNNNNNNNNNNNNNNNNNNNNNNNNNNNNNNNNNNNNNNNNNNNNNNNNNNNNNNNNNNNNNNNNNNNNNNNNNNNNNNNNNNNNNNNNNNNNNNNNNNNNNNNNNNNNNNNNNNNNNNNNNNNNNNNNNNNNNNNNNNNNNNNNNNNNNNNNNNNNNNNNNNNNNNNNNNNNNNNNNNNNNNNNNNNNNNNNNNNNNNNNNNNNNNNNNNNNNNNNNNNNNNNNNNNNNNNNNNNNNNNNNNNNNNNNNNNNNNNNNNNNNNNNNNNNNNNNNNNNNNNNNNNNNNNNNNNNNNNNNNNNNNNNNNNNNNNNNNNNNNNNNNNNNNNNNNNNNNNNNNNNNNNNNNNNNNNNNNNNNNNNNNNNNNNNNNNNNNNNNNNNNNNNNNNNNNNNNNNNNNNNNNNNNNNNNNNNNNNNNNNNNNNNNNNNNNNNNNNNNNNNNNNNNNNNNNNNNNNNNNNNNNNNNNNNNNNNNNNNNNNNNNNNNNNNNNNNNNNNNNNNNNNNNNNNNNNNNNNNNNNNNNNNNNNNNNNNNNNNNNNNNNNNNNNNNNNNNNNNNNNNNNNNNNNNNNNNNNNNNNNNNNNNNNNNNNNNNNNNNNNNNNNNNNNNNNNNNNNNNNNNNNNNNNNNNNNNNNNNNNNNNNNNNNNNNNNNNNNNNNNNNNNNNNNNNNNNNNNNNNNNNNNNNNNNNNNNNNNNNNNNNNNNNNNNNNNNNNNNNNNNNNNNNNNNNNNNNNNNNNNNNNNNNNNNNNNNNNNNNNNNNNNNNNNNNNNNNNNNNNNNNNNNNNNNNNNNNNNNNNNNNNNNNNNNNNNNNNNNNNNNNNNNNNNNNNNNNNNNNNNNNNNNNNNNNNNNNNNNNNNNNNNNNNNNNNNNNNNNNNNNNNNNNNNNNNNNNNNNNNNNNNNNNNNNNNNNNNNNNNNNNNNNNNNNNNNNNNNNNNNNNNNNNNNGGCACAAUAUGCCAUGUUUCUAAGGACGAUGUAAGUGUACAUCUUGAUUGUAAAUCAAUAUGAACCAUAAGAGGAGAAUAGUUUCACUUCGAAAAAUUCUCAAGGCAUUCAUUAUUGCUAAUGUGAGUACAUCGAGGUCUCAAAUAGACAAAGGACGUCGAUACAACGCCAUAGUACAUAUAACUUGGAACGAAAAUCAAUGUCUAGCCGAUGACAUCAAAGUCAUGGGUAGCUAGAGCAGGAUCCGAAUCUUUGAAAUUCGCGAUCAUGAGGAUGACGUUCUUGUCCUCAUAUUGAUUUUCCAUACAUUUUUGUAUGCAUUCACAAUUUAAAGGAGUUUGACAAUCUUGAAUCAGUGAUCCGAAGAUCCACAACGGUUGCAUUAAUGUCAUGAGCUGACGUGAGUAGUUUUGACAAAAUGGUGUCUAGACCGGGAGUGUCGCUAUUAGAGCCGGCAACACCUCCCCCUCUUUUCUAGACAUCGGCACGACGUUUUCUGCAGUUGCCAUGACCCAUAUUGUUGUCCCCACAUUAGGGGAUAAUCCCAAAUAAGUUUAUCACAUUAGCGUAUAUACAAUUCCUGUUUGUAUGAUCAAAAUCAAGUCUCGUUGGUAAUUCCACACCAACUUGGAGGAUCUAGAGAACUUGAUGAUGAUCGAAUCCGCUAAAGAUUAUGGAUCAUGAUGCCACAAAAGAUCAUCGACAAUAUGUAAUCAAUUAAAGUGGUAAGCAAUCCACUUGACUAAUAACUCAACAAGUAGAGUUAUAUGAACGUUUCGAGAAACGCUCCAUGAGUGCAUUCCACAGUACUUUGUGGUCAUUUACUUUUUGCACAGAUUGCCAUUGAAGGCUUUUGUCGAUGUGGCAUCUCGGCAUCUAGGCUUGUUAGCCUGGGGUCAAAACAUGUGGUUUAAUCCUUUCUAAUGAAAGGUUCCACAGAUACCAAGCGAAGAUCCGCCUUAGGCAUCUAGUACGUCAAAACUCAAAGGAGCAGAAUGUUAAAUUGCUCUUGCAUACAAAACCAAGCUGUUAUGAGACUCGAUAGAGGUCACAAACGAUGCUUUUAAUGGUUUGUCCUUCGGAUUGAUCAUACACAAUCCGGAAAAGCCGCGAAUUGAUCAAACACAAUUCGGAAAAAGGCCUCGGAUUGAUCAAACACAAUCCGGUGAAAGGUCGGGGUUGAUCAAACACAACCCGGACAAAGAAACAAGAGUGAUCAAACACACUCUUGACCCGCGAAUAAAAUUCCGGGAUUUGGGUACCUGCACGCACAAAAUCCCAAGCAUAGAAUGGAGAUGGAGAAGGGAGGAAAGGAUUUUAUCCUCCCCGAGUUAUUGAACUUGGAAAAGUUUAAGGUUUCAAAAAACAUACCUUUCUAGAGGCUGCCGAGAGGAGAAAUAACGUUUUGACUACUUAUACUUCGAAUUUGGGGCUGAAAAUUUGAUAGGAGGAGCAGCACUAGAUGGGGAAACUGCUGUCAAAAUUUCAGGUUGAUCGGAGCAAGGGAAGGUGGUGAACCGGUGGUCGGUAACGGCGGCGGUUUGGAAUCUUCCGGCGGCCGGUUCGGAGACUUUCCGGCAGGUUCUCAGGGUGAGACCGGCGGCAUUGGAUCCGGGGCGGAGAGAGCUUUCUGGGGAUAUAAAAUUCCGGUGGAGGGCAGUCGGAAUUUUGGUCGGAAAUCGGGAAAAACAAGGCUGCCCGAUUUUAGGGUUUUGGUUUUUAGGGUUUAGAAAAAAAUCGUGGGCUAUUGGCUCUAGGGUUAGAACAAAGUGCAUGAUAACGUGAUGAAGGAUUAAUGGUAGAGACAAAGAGAUAGCAAGAGAAUCAUCAUCUUAUUCAUUGAUAGGAGCCCUUUAUAUAGGGAAUUACACAAUACCAAUAUGGUAAGGAUAUGAAUACAUAGAUCUAGUCUAACUACAUAUCCUAUUGACAUAAGGCCGAGGCACACAUAGAGAAUAUCCUAGAACAUGUAUGUCUCAAUUUCAAUGUUAUCAACGUGUUAAAAGUAACUAUUCUUUAAAAUAAGAGUAAUGCUAGAUGAACCACCUUUUGAGAAACCACCUUAAAACCCACUUUAGAUGACAUCAUAUAUGGUAUAGCCACAUCAUCAAAGCAUUAUUUGUGUCUUUUAUAUUUUCAUUUCUUCCGAAUUACAAAAAUUUCUUUUUCCUUCUUUCACUUUCAAUAAGUAAUUUUCGUCUAUAAAUUAGGUACAAGAAUAACACGCAUGUAUCCCUGUAUGUUCUUUUUUCCUCUGGUUGGUAUAUAUUCUCCAGCAUUGAUUGUUAUUUCAUCAGUUUUGAGAAACCACCUUAAAACCCACUUUAGAUGACAUCAUAUGUGGCAUAGCCACAUCAUGAAAGCAUUAUUUGUGUCUUUUAUAUUUUCAUUAAGUGCGGCUAUUGAGACCUCUAAAUUUGCUCACUAGACCUCACUCUAUUGUGAAUUAUUAAAUGACAUAUAUAUCAUCAUACACAAUGAUUAUUAAGGACAGUAAUUAUACAAAAAGAAAUAUUAUAUUUAUUCUCUUUAGACUUUCUAAUUCAAUAAUAAUUGAUUACAUUAUUUAUUAUUUUCCUUAUAUAUUUUCGUUUUCUAAUUUCUUUUCAUUAAAGCAUAUAUAAUAUAUAUAGUUCAUAAGAGCUAAAACAAUGAUCAAAUAUCGAUCAUGUGACAUAAAAUUUUGUAUUAUCAUACAUGUUGAACAAGGUGCAUAAAUAUUUUUCCAAAAAAAUAAGUGUAUAUAUAUAUACAGUCCUCUUCCAGAGUGGGAUCCCGCUUUAAAAUUAAAGUGCGAGACUCUUUAUUUCGCUCACUUUCAAGUCGUAUUUCCACAUCUUAACCGUACAAUGUCUAAAACACAGUGUGUAGAUCAUUUAUGCAAAGUUUUAUCAAAUUUGAAGAUCAUUUGAAUACCAAAUUAGAUUAAAUAAAUCAAUAUAACAAAAGUUGUCCAAACAGAACCGUUCGUGUAAAUUACGAUUACGGAAGCUCAAAUGAUCUUUAAAUUUAAUGAAACUUUGCAAGAAUGAUCUACACAUUAUGUUUUAGACAUUGUAAGGUUGAGAUGUGGAAAUACGACCUGAAAGUGAGCGAAAUAAAGAGUCCCGCACUUUAAUUUUAAAGCGGGAUCCCACUCUGGAAGAUGACUAUAUAUAUAUAUAUAUUUAUCAAAAUAAUUUAUUAUGAGGUAUAAAAUAGAGAUCAAAUUAUUCAAAAUAAAAAACAGAGAAAAAAUAACACAUACAAAAGAGAAAAACAAAAGUUAAAAAGAUAUAUAGAAUAGUUCAUGAUAAAACAUUUUCUUGCAUGAAAAAAAAUAAUCAGAAAAUGAAGGUAGGGAUAAUAGAUGUUCAAAAACAAAAAGGUAAAAUAAAAUAAAAAUGAGAGGUCUAUUGAGUGAAUAAGAGUUAAAGUAAGUAAUUAAUUGAAAUAUAUGUCAAUAAAUAACUAAGGUUAUGUUAGGAAUUUAAAAUGAGGUCUAGUGAAAAAAUACUUAUAUUAAAAAGUAAAGAAUAACAAGAAUAAGUAAUCUUCGUCUAUAAAUUAGGUACAAGAAUAACACGCAUGUAUCCCUGUAUGUUCUUUCUUCCUCUAGUUGGUAUAUAUUCUCCAGCACUGAUUGUUAUUUCAUCAGUUUUGCAACAAAGAAAUAGAACCUGAACUUGUAUUCAAACUUCUACAUCGAUCACAGCUUGAGCUAGUAUUUAUCAUACACCCGUAGACAAGAUCACGCAUACAUAAUAUUUGCUUGAUUUUAUCUUUCAAACUCGGUUUCACCAAUUGUUAUAAGGAACUGGCACCUCCCAGCAAAUUAAGAAAGAUAUAUAUGUAAAAUAUAGCAAGCAUUUUGUUCCAACCAGUGCACCAGGCACUCCAUUCCGAUCCAUUAUUUUCUAUGUUCAUCUUUGCCUCUUACCACUCUUGUUACUGGGCAGUAUAUAUGCAUAAAUUGCCAAGGAUGUCCUAAUUGCAAUUGAAGGCCUUCAAGAGUCCCCAUCUCCCAACUAUAAUGAUGAUGUACCAUGGUCUAACUAGGAAAAGAUCAGUGUUCAUUAUCAACCCAACCUCACUGAAUAUUAAUCCUCUACCCGAUCAUGGUGAUCGAAAACCAAUUCACACAAGGAGUUUUUAUACGAGGAAUCGUAGUCACAUAGAUAUCAAAGAAAACCCAUCCAACUCAACAAUAUAUGACCCAAGAAAUUUUAACAAGCAUCAUGUGAUACUCUAAUUCGAUAUGAGUUGAUCAUGGAAAAGCAGAUAAUUAAGAUGGUUGAGCCGUUGAGGAGAGGGUGAGAGGAGAAUGAUGAAGACGUACGGCAAAUGAAAAAGAAUAAUAAAAUUAGGGUUUAUAUGAUUAAACUAAGAAAGUGUAAAAAAGAAAAAGGAAUUUUAGUAAUUAAGAAUAAUGAAAAUACAAAAGACAUAAAUAAUAGGGCCCUUAAUAAUAUUUGAUGAUGUGGCACUGCCACAUAUACUGCCACCUAAGAGCAAGUUCACCCAUUGGGUUAAAAUGAACAUAGUGAUCUAGGUCAUUAUGGGUUACUGUGACUAGGCAACAGUUUUCACUCGUCUGAAAUGUGAGAUUACGGUCACGUGACAGUGACUGUUUAUUAAAUUUUAAAAUACAUUUUAAAUACAAUUAAAUUUUAAAAUAUAUUUUAAAUAGUAAUUUAUACAUAUAUAUUAUAUGACAUAUUAAAAUUAAUAUUUUUAUUUCAUGACAUAUAACAAGUCAAGCUUAAGAAAUACUUUUAUUUGAUAUUUUCUAAUGAAAAACACAAUCUAAAUUAACUAGGUAUAUGUAAAAUAAGCUAUCAAUCCAGUGAAUAUAUAUAGGGUAUAUAACAUUAAACUACCAUUUAAAGGUACAAAUGAUAAAAUAGUCUUCAAAUGUUUCACUUGAUAAAAAAGUCACCAUUAAAGCAUGUUACAUGAUAAAAUGGUCACCUCAUAACAUCUUAAAUGAUAAAAAUGUCUAUUUUCACACUUUUUACAUGACCAUUAUACCCUUCUCUCUCCCUCAACCAAAUUUCCUUACCAGACUUCCUCGACCUCAACCUUAUCUCCGCCGAAGAAAGUAGGCGGUGGCCACCGUGGCCAAGUGAGCUACUCCCGGCACUCUUUCCCACCCACCCACCCUUUCAGUAACCCAAGGCAAAAAUCCCUGAACCUAAUCUUUCCCACCACCAUCUCUGAAAACUCUCAUUCACCUAGAUCUAGCUAUACCCCUCUUUUCGUUUACCCAGAACCCUCCUCUCUAUCCUCUCACAGGCUAAGCCUUAGGUCCGAGAUGAUUUCCACCUUUGCAUGUCCGAUUGGAACAGUUAUGGCGAGACUUGGUGUUAUCGGCGAGAUCUGAGUCUCUUGGUUUUUGAAUAAAAGUGUUUUUUCUCUAAAUCAGACUUUUCUGAUUAUCCAGGUAUGUAAAUCUCUUCCGAUUCCCACCUAUUUUAGGUCUUAAAAGAGAACGAGGGCUUUACAAGAUGAUACUCUCAUGUAUGAAUCUGCAGAGAAUGAUAGCAAUGCUUUUCUGCUAAGCUUGGUGAUGAUUAUAACCUUGUCUAUUGAAUUUGUUGAGAAAGAAGGCAGUGCGUCAACAGGUAAGAUAGCUAAAACCCAUUUAUAUAUUUCCUGUUUUGCAGUUGAUGUCUUAUGUAUCCUAGGUACUAGGUCAUCUUCAUCUAUCUUAAAGAGGACCAGCCAUUUACCUUUUGAUGAAUCUCAUGUGGUGCCUGCAAUUGGACAAUCUGGUGGUAUUAAUCUUUUGUGGAAUUCCAAGUCUGUUAAUUUGCAAGUUAUUUCUUCACAUGAUAGAUUUGUUCAUUGCAGUCUUACUGAUAUCAAAAUGAAUAAGUCUUGUAUGUUCACUUUUGUCUAUGCCUAUCCCAAAAAGAACAAACAAAUGGCUCUGUGGAAUGAACUAGCAAUGCUUACCUCAGCCAGUAAUCUUUGCUGGGUGCUAAUGGGGGAUUUUAAUAUUAUUGUUAGCCCCGAGGAAAAAUUGGGAGGCAAUGGUGGUGUUACAAAUUAUAUGAUCAACUUCUGCAAUUUUUUGAAUAACAAUGGCUUGGUUUCUCUUGUUGCUACAGGCUUGCCAUUCACUUGGACAAACAAGCAUACAGAUCACUGAUUUUUGAACGUUUAGAUAGAGCAGUAGUAAAUUCAAAUUUCCUUAACUUCUUUCCAGAUGCUAAAUUGGAAAACCUCCCAAUUAUUAUUUCUGAUCAUGGCCCUAUUUGUCACACAGUAUAUUUUUUUUUUGGAAAUGAAAAAUAGAUGAUAAUUAUUUUUCACACAGUAUAAAUUUAUUUAUUUUUAUAGAAAAUUUCAUAAAAGUCUACUUUCUAACAUUUGUUCCUUCAUAAGUCCACCUUAAUUUUUUUACCCAUAUAAGUCCACUUUAAGGGUUAGAUUCGUAAUCUUACUUUCAUUUCAUACCUAAAAUACCCUCCCAAUCACUCCCUACCAAAAANNNNNNNNNNNNNNNNNNNNNNNNNNNNNNNNNNNNNNNNNNNNNNNNNNNNNNNNNNNNNNNNNNNNNNNNNAAAGAGAAGAAGAGGACUAAAACGAUGUUGUCGCAAGCCUCGAAGGGAGCGACGACGGGGUUCGUGGAGCGGGAUCGGCUGUAGUGGGCGCUGGUGGAGUGUCACCGUCGGAUCCCGACGGGUCGGGCGUGGGAAUCGGGUUGCCGGCACCUAAACCGCGGACUUGCCGAGUGCUUGUGUUUCUGUUGAGGAUUUUGGUGUGUUUCUGUUGAUGAAUGGAGUGUUUUAUGUUUCUGUUGAGGAUUUUGGUGACUUUCAAUGAGCUAGAGGCUGCUGCCAUGGCAUGUGCUGAACUGAUGGCCGCUAGACGACUUGUAAUCUGGCUUCAGGUGGUGGUAGUAGUUUUUGUAGAUGGUAGUAGUAGCUUUUGUGGUUGGUAGUAGUAUUUUUUCUGUUAGUCGGAAACCUCACAGUAGUAGCUUUUGUAGGUGGUGGUAGUAGCUUUUGUAACUGGUGGUAAUAGCUUUUGUGGCUGGUGGUAGUAGUUUUUGUGUUUCGUCGAAAACCUCACAGUAGUAGCUUUUGUAGGCGAUGGUAGUAGCUUUUGUGGCUGGUGGUAGUAGCUUUUGUGUUUCGUCAGAAACCUCACAGUAGUAGCUUUUGUAGGCGGUGGUAGUAGCUUUUGUAGGCUGUGGUAGUAGCUUUUGUAGCUGGUGGUAGUAGCUUUUGUGGUUGGUGAUAGUAGUUUUUGUGUUCGUCGGAAACCUCACAAUAGUAGCUUUUGUAAGCGGUGGUAGUAGCUUUUAUAGCAUGUGAUAGUAGCUUUUGUGGUUGGUGGUAGUAGCUUUUGUGUUCAUUGGAAACCUCACAGUAGUAGCUUUUGUAGGCGGUGGUAGUAUCUUUUAUAGCUGGUGGUAGUAGCUUUUGUAGUUGGUAGUAGUAAUUUUUGUCAUCGUUGGAGGUUAGUCGGAAACCUCACCAGAGGUCGGCCGGAAACCUUGCCGGAGGUCGGCCGGAAAUCUCACCGGAAACCUCGUCGGAGGUCAGCCGGAGACUUUUCCAAGAUGAGAGUGGUUGUUGACUUUUUAUACUAGUGGCAUUUUUGUAAAUAUAAAAGAGAGAAUCUAAUGUUUUUUAUUAGAUGGCAGUCUGUAAUUUUGUUCAACUUUUAUACCUAAUAUAAAACCCUAUUUAGGCUUAGGUGGACUUAUGUGAGUAAAAAUGUUUGGGUGGACUUAUAUGAAAUAAAAUGUCUGAAAAUGGACUUCUAUGUAAUUGACCCUUAUUUUUACAGAUUUUCCUAUUUCUACAUGUUAUUAAUUAUAUACUUUUUAAUUAAGUGCUAAAUCAAAAAAAGAAAAAGCAUUUGUUUACAUUUGCAUAAGAGCAAACGACAAAAAGUGAAAGGGGUUGUCAUGGGGCCCAGCCCUAUUGCAUGUUCAGUCCAUUGAGAAGAACAUGCUCUACACGCGGCAUUUUGAUACAGCAAAAAGAUGGCUGUGCGCUUCACGCGGUAAAUGGGGCUGUGAAAUGUUGCUGCUGACCCAGCUUGACGUCACCCACGUAGUGGGUUCAGCUGAUGCGGCGUAGUCGCUGGGCUGGUGUUCUCCUCUCAUCUGAGUUAGAUCUCUCCCUAAAAAUCUAAGAGCAAGUUCAUCCGUUGGGUUAGAAUGAAUACAGUGACCUGGGUCACUGUGACUAGGCAGCAGUUUUCACCCGUUUAAAAUUUGAGAUUACUGCCACGUGGCAUUGACUGUUUAUUGAAUUUUAAAUUACAUUUUUAAAUGCAAUUAAUCGUUUUCUGUAUAAAUAAAUAGUAAUUUAUAUAUACUAUAUGACAUAUUAAAAUUAAUGUUUUUAUUUCAUGACAUUUAAGUAACAAGUCAAGUUUAAAAAAUACUUUUAUUUGAUAGUCUAAUGAAAAACACAGUCUAAAUUAACUAAGCAUAUGUAAAAUUAGUUAUAAAUUCACACGGUAUAAAUUUAUUUAUUUUUACAUAUUUUUUCUAUAAAAUUAUAAAUCAAAAAAGAAAAAACCUUAUUAAAAAAAAAAAAAAAACCUGAAACUUUCUUCUUCUCUGGGCUGCCAUAUUUCUUCUCUGGGCACCCACAGAGGGAGAAGAUGGCGACCACCCACCCACCUUCGCACGCUACCGCUCCGCACAGCAGCAAGCAGCGCAACUCCAGCCUCCUCCGCACGUUGCCGCUCCAGCCUCCUCCGCACGCUGCCCCUCCAGCCUCCUCCGCACGCUGCCCCUCCGCACAUCGUCGUCACAGUCUCCCUGUAGUCAUCACACGCGCGUCUUCCUUCGCUGCAGUUCGUCCGUGCGCGAAACGCAGCUUCCAGGCGCGUCGCUCGGUGGAGGCUUCAUUGCUGACGCAAGCCACGAGCGUGGGCUGGGCUGACGUGGAUCAAUCUCGCCUGGGUCAGUCUUCUCCUCUCACUGGGUUGGAUAUCUCCCCAGCAAACUCACCCGGGCUAGAAAAUGAGUUAUCUCAUUUUAUGGGUGGAAGCAAAAUUUUUUGGGCUGUGUUGCUUUGCCCAUGUGGAUCCAACCUGGGUUGGAUUUUUUGCUCACCGGUGGACAUGCUCUAACCUGGGUUGAAAUAUGAGUAAACCCAUUUCAUGCGUAGAUUAGAGUUUUUUUGGUCUGGGUUAGAUUGCCUAUGUGGCUUCUAACCUGGGUUAAAUUUUUGAAGACGGGUGGACAUGCUCUAAAGUAGGCUGUAAAAUGGUUUCUCUAAAGGUGGUUCAUCUUAUUUACACCUAAAUUAAUAUUUUACUAGACAGUAAUUGUCUAAAAUGAAUAUUAGUUAUAUUCAUGAUCUACGUCACACCGGCGAGCCCAAAAUAAUAGGUUUACAAGUGAUAACCUGCCAGGAAAGUCAUACGAGCUAGACAAGUUGGCAUGGACAAGAGACUUCGCAUGGAAUAGAAGGACUAGGUAACAUGAGUUGACUUGGUUCAAUAUUUAAUUGCCUACAAAGGUGCGCGAGCUAGACAAUACAGUUUAUAUGCGAAGAUGAGUUUACAGGCGAGGAGAUUGCUUGCAUGUGAAGACGAGUAGUUCGCAUAAAAGAAGAAAAGAUGCGGACUCCGCCUAUAGUAUCUCAAUUGGAGAAGGAAGCAAUUAUCCAUAUCUGGCUUGAGCAACUACACGUGCAUGAGUUGCUUGCAUGAGAAGGGGUUGAUUCUAUUCCUUAAUCAUGUAUACAUGAUAUGUAUGCACAUCCAGCAAGAUAAGUUUAGAAGGCCUUUAGGUCUCAACGAGGUAUCGAAACACUAUCUCGCUACCUAGCUAGCAGAGGUAUAUCAAAGAGGCAACCAAGUCUAACUGCCUACGAUACAGUAUUAACGUUGAAGACUUCUACAAGUCUUUGACAUACUUUGGGCCAACACCUGUGACAUUAAAAUAAGUCUAUAUAAAAGAGUUCGAGGAUCCGCUAUAGGGACACUGAACAACUCAACAAAAAUACAAUACAACUUUCAACACAGUUGAACCCCCGACGCUAAAGCAUCACGCCUUAGCCAUUUUCUUUUACAGGCUCCCCGAAGCUUUGCUCUCAUUUCCCUGCUCGCUCCCCGGAGCUUUGCCUUUUUUUAUUUCUUUUCCAGUUGAAGCUUUGCUCGGCCUCAUGUCGAGUAUCGAUAUUGUGAUGCUCAGGCGGACUACUGUAAGUCCUUGCCUAGUACGCAAGGUGAAUCUGAAGAACUCUGCGUGGAGUUGGUGCUCUCUCCAUCCUCAAUCGUUUGAUUAGAAGCUGAAAGCUAAGCGCGCUCCGCUCCUACAACCACUACAUUUCGCAUCCGCGCGGUGGUAAACGCGCAACGAAUAAAAGAGAUUUUGUAUACCUAGACUUACUGGUGUGGCCAAAACACACCUAACAUUACUCAUAAUGUAUUUUGAACUCGUAAAAGUAUAGUAUAACUUCGAAUUUCCAACACUGAACCUGCAAUAAUAUUUAUAAAAAAUAAGUACAUAAUUUCGCUACAUGAAGGUUAUCUUUCGAUCUCGAUGUGCCUGAUCGUGCUUAAGAAAAUAUCCGAUGAAAUAUGUGACCGUUUUUCAUGGCAUCAUCAUGGUCACUAACAUCGCUUCUUUGGCACCAUAAUAAGGAAUCCUAAUUAAAAAUUGUCGAAGUCAUCCUCCUGGUCACUAAUGUCACAACUUUCUAGAUCUUCAUCGGAGUCAUCAAUGGGUACUAUUUUGCUAGCUUCAAAUCUCAUAGAAGGAGAUACUAGUCUGGAUGUUGAUUUUGCACCAGAAUUAGACGUCACCAACCCACGUCGUUCUUCCUCUGUUUUCAUAUCACAACGAGGCAAGAACCACUCCAUGGACAACGCCUUGACGUCCAAACCUACAUCUUCAAGUUCCCAAACCAAUUUCACUUUUCUUCUCAGAGAAUGGCCUUCCGAGCUUUCCUCACGCAACGACACACAAGUACUGACCCUGUGUGCAAUGUUCACGCCGUCGAUGGCUCUGUAAUCUUGGAAGUAUGACUCCAUUGUUGAUUCCCAGUCACUAUGCUUUCCCAAAGCUGUCAACCUUAGCCGACGAGAGUCUUCUAGCUUCACCAAGAGGCCUGUUUUCUGGCUGAAGUAGCCCAAAAUGGUGUGUCGCACUGUCUCUACGUUGUUGCUGCUGCUUAGUUUUGAAGGUUCAACCAUCAGUUCAAGUAUGAAGCAGUCCUCUUUGUUUAUUGAUUUGUCCGCAAACCAAUCUGACUUGCUGAAUAAAUUUGCUGUUAUCCUCGGAUUAAGACCCUGAAGGAGAGGUCCAAGGGGAAGAGGCGGUACUCGAUACGCGUGGGAGUAAUGCCAAGGCAAAAGCGUCUUGCCAUCACUCCCCGUGCUAACUAAUUUGUGGACAGGAGACAACAUUAGGUCCAAGCACCAUAGCUCCCCCUUUUGCCAAAGCAACCCCGGCAUUCCAUGUCCGCUGCCACCGCUAAUGGACUUCGAGCUUCCAGUCCUGUUUGUCAUCGUGAUCUUCACAUUGCCUGUCGCAAAUAAGUUGUCCGAUGAUGACAAAGCCUUCUCCCCGCCCACCGCCGCUACGUACUGCUUCACAAUGUAUUUAGCCCUGGCGAGGGGUUGGUGACCAUCGUUGUUGAAACAAAGAGUAGCUGGAGUCAAGGGGGCACCAAUAACUUCAAGUAAGCUAGCUAGUGUCGUGCCAUCGCUAGCCAUUGACGUUGAUUUCUUUACUGAUCUUUUUGAUUCAAUCGAUGAUUUCAUUCUGUUCCAUAGCUUUGUUGUUGUCUUCUUGCGAGGGACCUCUCCAAUUGUGUCCGAUUUCUUUCUGUUCCUUGGCUUUGUAGUGUUCUUGUGAGGAACCUCUAAAACUGUCUCCAAAUCGGGACGAUACUUUUCCAUGAACAAUGGAAUCAAGAUGAACACGGCACUAAAAUUGCGAAAGAAUAAAAACAUUGAGAAAAGUCUAUCAUGUAUAUAUACAAGUGUAUACCGGUGGCUCAUCAGGAUUCAGGGAAUCCUAAUUUUACUAGAAAUAAUAGGCAAGUUAGCUGGCAUGAUUUUCCUAUUUCAAGGAGAAAUAAUAAGCUGAUUCUGUUUCUUUUUGGGAAAAACAUGAUUUGGGAAAUAUAAUUGGCCUAUGAUUAUGUAUGCUUCCCAAAGUUGACUUAAGGUAAUCAAGUUCUCUUUUACUGAUCCGAAGAAAACAUGCAUAUGUUGUUUUACGGGUAACCUUAUAGGCUUAUAUGACCUGCGAACCCAACUCCUCUAUGGCUCUGUUUGGUCUAAACGAGGCACAUCUUACUGAGCAUAAGGGAUCUUUCUGUAAGAAGAGCUAUGUCCUAUGUAUUGAUGUGUGACAGACUCCCAACGGGGUGAACAGCAUAACCCCAAGCAUACAGUCGAAAGAAACAUCAACCAAUCAACAUAGUUACUUCAAUUUCAAUUCAUACAAUCAAAACAAUAACUAAUCACCCUUGUAUUCUAUUAGCAAUUGCAAUGUUAUCAACCCUUUAUUCUAAAUUUCUUAGAUCAUCACCAUUCUCCAAUAGGAGAAAAACAAUGCCGUUAAAGUUGAGAAGGCAUAAUAUUCAGCAAACAAAGAGAAACCAUAUAAAUUGGGAGACCAAGAUCAUCAAAUAAGGCACAAGUGCACAACAGAAAUCUUAAACAAUAAGAACCCAAAUCAAAACCAAAUCAAGUUCUCGAUUUCAUAACUCAUAAUGUCAAAAACUCAUAACCCGAUUUCCAUAACACUACAACAACCAUUGUUUCUCACUAAUCAACACGACAAAACAUAAACCCAGUAAACAAGCAAAGAACAUAGCUUUUUUCCAUGGUUGAAGACAAAGACGAAGACCCAUCAACGCAACCUUCUUGCUUCCCUCUCGGACUCGAGCAGGGUGAGGAUGUCGCCCUCCCGGACCGGUCCCUUGACGUUCCUCAUGAUGAACCGGUUCUGGUCGUCGAGAAACUUGACUCGGACUUGGGUCACCUGUCCUCUGGAUCCGGUGCGUCCCAUCACUUUCACAACCAACGCGUGCUUCACAGUCGAUUCCAUGCUGAGAUUUGUGAAGGAGGAGGAGGCGGCUGGCUUUGGAGAUUGAACAGGACGAGGGGUUGAACAAGUAGGGUUUUUGUCUGAGAUGGAUUUUAAUAUAGACACUUGACUUGCAGUUGGGGGCCUAAUGUUUUUCUUAUUCCAAUUUCUGCCCCUGUAUUCAGUGUGUUUUUUUCCUUUGUAAAUAUGAGAGGCCUCUGUCUUUUGUUAUUUAGAUAAAUGCACGUUUAUUUUUACUGCCGUAUUUAACUGUUCAGUUAAUCGACGGCAUCUUUUACUGCCUAAAUGCGAGGAAAGGAGAAUGUAAAUAGAGAGAUGAAGUAUGAGAGCAAAGAACAUGGUAAACAAUGUCCAUUCUGUUGGUGGAACUACCACUGAGUAUGUCUCGCAUGCUUAAACGCACGUGUUUCACUAACAAGCUACACUGACGUGUUUCUAGACCGCGUACGUGGACGCGGUGUGAAACUUCUACAACGAGUGCGCUCCAAUUGCCAGCUCCAAAGCGCACGUCCCUACAUAUAAAAAGGACACUCUUGGCUCCCAUGUCUAGGUAUAUGCUAAGCUCUAGUCUCACUAGAUUCCUUUUUUUUUUUUUUUUGACUAUGGAUCCUAACUUGAGUGUCAGAGAGGUGAUGCCGGGAUCCGUCCGGACGGCCUUCUGACCACUCGUUGUCCUCUUGGAAGUCCCCAGUUGAAUUAUAGUGAGAGAGCUUCUGUAUUGAGCAACAGGCCUCAUGGCCCAAACAAAACUUCUAGAGUAACUAGACGACCAUUCCGGGUUGGCCCACUUUAUAAUGGACAUUGUUAUACGUACUUUUGUACCCAAAGUAAAGUAUAUUGAUUAGAAGUUUAGGACCGUCAAACUAAAGCUGCUUUAAUUAGUUAACGUUAUCUUAGCAAAGAUUAAAAGGCGCCGAAAAGACUAAAGGACCCCCUCGUCAACUCGAAACUUUUGACAUUUUGUAUCAUACAUGCAUGCAUUUUCCUAACGACUUGUCUUCCUCUAGUAUUACCUUUUUUUUUGUUUUCCAUUCUCUUAUUGAUCUUAUCUGAGACUUUGAGUUAAUCUUAUUUCUCAUCACAACUUUCCACAUCAUGUAUGGAUUUGUGACCAUAAUCCCUCCAUUAACGGGGAACAAUUAGAUUAAAAUAGUUAAAAACCCUAGCUAAUGGCAUAUACAUCACGGCAGUGUCCUUGUCACGACAAAAUGACCAUACAUUGUAUGUGCUAGCUUGAACGAUCGUUAAGAAUUUCGUAAUUACUCCUAACUAAACAAAGUAAUUGCUCUUUGAUAGUCAAAUAUAUAGGAAUAUAAACUAAGUAAUAACUACAUGCGAUGCAUGCUAGCUAUUGAUCGGGUCAGCUUCAAUUUAGCUAGGCUCAACGAAAAUCCUAUACUUAACUGUUUAGAACUUUAAGUACAAUGCAGAUAUCAACAUGGCAAAACAAAUUGGACCUAGCUUAUAUUCAUGAUGGUCAUAUAUAGAGCUCACCACAUAUAGUGCAUCUUAAUUUUAAUUGCUUCUUUACUUUUUUUGGGUGAAAUACUAAAGAAAAUUAUAAUGAUAAACUCUCGGUUAUAUGCAAUGCUCUCAUCAAUUAAACGAAGUAUCAUUUUCAUGUCGAAGUAAGUUUUUAUGCAUGAUUAAUUGAUUAUAACAGAUUGAUAAAAAAACUUAGUUUUAUUUUGCUUCUGUUACCGAAGAAUGUUUCUUGUGUUAAAGUGGCCUUUGUGUUCCGCAAAUAAGCUCAGUUAUAAAUAAUAAUCUGACAAUUUUUUCCUCUGCUAUAAUCUUUUCGUGUCAUGUUUCUUAUUUGUAAUCCUUUUUGCCGUCUAUAUAUAUAUGGACCAGCAAUGACAUGAUACAUAGCAGCUGCAGCAAUACCUGCACAUAAUACUGGCUUGUAUUUUAUAAAUAUCAUGCACACGCAUAUCAACAUAUAUAUAUAUAGGCUUUUUCAGAUAUAAAUCUCUUUAUUUAUUUAAAAGGUAUAGAUUUUUUUAAUUGACAUAUUUUUUUAUCAUAUUUUCUCAUCUCAAUCAUUCAUCUUUUAGGUAUAUAUGAGUAGAUCUCUACAAAAUUUCAGCCAAAUUGAUAAUCAUUAAGGUAUUCAAAACUGUGAAUUACACGAACAAUUCUUAUUGAACAGAUUUGGUUCGUUCAUUGUAAUUAUAUAGUUUCGAUACGUACCUUAACGAUCACUAAUUUAGCUGAAAUUUUGCAAAGAUAAUCAUGUCAUAUAUAUCUAGAUACUAAUUGGCUAUGAUUGAAAAAUAUGACUGAAAAAUGGUUCUAUUGGUAAAAUCUGUACUUUUUGAAUAAAUAAGGAUGUUUGGACCUGAUAAAGACUGAAUGUGUGUGUGUAUUUUACCGUAAAAACAAAACGUACUUAUGAAUUUGAAGGUGGUUCUAUCUGCACCCACCUGUAGACCUGAAAAUCACACAAAUGGAGAAGCGAUCGAGGAUCCCGAAAGGAGGCCUUACAUGCACAAAUCUUAGUCUGCAUGUAUAUGAAUGUGUCAAUAUUUUCCCAGAUUUUGUGUUUCUCACGUAUAGACAGAUAGAUAUUUUCUUGUGAUUUAGAAUCCGUGAGUGAAAAGGAAAUAACAUUAGAGAACAAUACAACAAAACAAAGCUGAAAUGAGCUCUCCGGAAAACAGAGAACGAAAAGAAUCCAACGUAUUGCUAAACGUACACGUGUACGUUGUGAGAAUGAUCGAUCGGUCUUUCAGAUUCAUGAAACCCUUUCACGUUUCUUUUCGAUAAUGAUCGAUCGGUACGUCUUUCAUAUGUAUGUGGCAUCACUUAGUUUCAACUCCACCGAUAUAUCGAUCUUUUCACAUCACUUCUAGUUUCUUUUUCUUCUACAUCGAUCAAAGGCUUAGGAACCAAGCCUAGGAGCGAGCUCUUGGUUUGGAAUUUUGUACUUCUACCCCUUCGUAUAUUCUCGUAUUAAUUCAUUCCAUCAGCGACCUAAAAUCUGUCUCUGUCGAAUGGAUACAAGGCCUAACUAGCCAUCGAGUCAUUUCCUAAAAGAUACAGACAAGUCUGGUUGAGCCGUUUAGGUCUAUUUUUAGGGUACUACUAUCCAUCGUAUCAUCUUCAUAUUGAUGAAAAUAUUAUUUACAUAUAAUUUAUACAUCGAUCAGACUGAGAAGAUAGGAUAAGAUAUAGGUGAGCCAAUGAUCGAACAAUAAUGCACAACCCUAGCCUCGAACUGCGAAACUCCAUCUCCAUGUUCAAAAUCUCUAUGGAUUCUCUUAUAUGCAUGUAUAGUAUAUAUAUAUAUAUAUAUAUAUAUAUAUAUAUAUAUAUAUAUAUAUAUAUACGUACAUAUAUGCUACAAAUCAUAUAUAUGAACAACUGAGUGCUUCAUCAGGAGGCUAUGAGUUUUUCAAUUAUAUGUACAAUUAUUUUAAUCCAUUGGAAAUUGCAGAUGCAUGCAGCUACAAAUGAUUUAUGAAACUAUUUAUGGUAUUGUAGCUUUUGCAGAAUCAGUUGGGGAUGAAUAAAUGAAAUGUAGUAAUGAGCUCAUUGAGUUGUUGCCGUUCGUGUUCAGUUCGAUUUGUCAGUUUUCCGGUCCACCCCCACGUAUCUUACUAGCUCAGUGUCUCCCGAGACCAGAGAGCUAGCUCAAUAUAGAAAUUCCUAGAAGUAAUUCGACGAUUAGUACCCUGAAUUAGCAGUGUUAGAUUGAUCACAUAUGACAGUAACUGAUUAACACUAGCAGCUUAAUCGUACUUCGUCUCGAAGUUUUUAUGUACGUGUUCGUCAUCACCCACGGUAAGAGUAAACAGAUCGAUCUGCAAAAAUUGCAUCACCCAUGUGAAUGAUUCUCUACCUCUCUGCCUCUCUGCUAGGUUUUGUUGCGCAGUUUAGCCAAGUGCCAAAAUGAUGACACAGUACGUGAUGAGAAACCUGCAGCUUAAUUAUAACUAUUUGAGAUCUUUGUAGCUACCGAUAUUCAUCUAUAAAAUUCAUAUAUCCGAAUGAAUUGCAGGUCAAAGAAAAGUUGCUAUUUAAGUAUAGUUGUUCACAACAUGAACAUUGAACUAUAUUUUGCAGGUCAAGAAAUUCAGCAGACACAUAACAUGGUUUUGUUUACAAGUAUAUGUGUCGGUUUGAAUUAAUGCGGAAAAUGGUUUCAAAGAUUAAUGUAUCACUUGUAUUAUUCAGAAAAUAUAGAAACAAAUAUUCAACGAUAUUAUACUUUAGGAUUUGACAUCAUUUACGUAGCUUCUGGAAGUGAAUCAAUCAAAGAAUAUUCUUUAGGGUUUAUGAAAGUUUGUAUAUGAUAUUGCGUGUGACUUAAUCUUCCGCGUUCAAACCAUGUAGAUGGAAUAACUAGCAUGCUGCAUGAGAAAGGAGAGUGAUGCUAGCUACUUUGCUAAGUAGUUUCCACUUUAAUUAGUUGAUGCAAAAGUUUAGAAUUAGUCGGAGAUCGAUGAACUAUUAGUUACUUUCAACUCUAUAGACGGCUACGUAGAAUAAUUUUGAAAUCAACAACCACUAAUUAUGAAGUUUCGUAAUAACUGUAGCCGGAUUAUUGAGCUAGCUAGUCCUCUUCGAUCUUUACCUUUCUUGACUACGCACAUACCAAGGGGGCCCCGGGACCAUGUGAAACUAAGUUGCAAUUUUCCCUAGUUGAAGGCUGAUUUGAGAGACCAGAACCAGUAGUAGAAGGAAAAAUCAAACUCUACAAGGAAAUUAAGAACGUACCCAGUUGCCAAUUGUAGUGAAUGCUACAAUUACUCAAUUAGUCGAAGACUGAAUCAGUUGCAGACGAUCGAGCUAGUUCUAGUGGGCAUGCAACUGGGCAUGGCUGUAGCUUUAGCUACCGUAGUGUGCGAAAAGUCGAAAACUGCGAAACCAGAUAUGGGUGUGGAAUUAAUUAACCCUAGCUAGUUCAGUCCUUCGAAUCUAAAUAUAAGUUUCAAAAAAUACACACACAGAAUCACAGAGUGGUUUCUCAUCAGAAGCAGUCUGUUGGUUUGGUUUGGUUCCACAGUGAGUGACAUACAGAUCAUAUUUUAUAUAGAAAAAAAUUCAGUAAACUAUCCUGAAUUUUAGGUCUAAAAUCAGUUUGAUACCUCAUCUGUUUUUUAAUCAGUUUCAUACCUAAACUUUCAAAAUAACAUCAAUCUCGACCAAAAUGACUAAAAUAGCCCUGGUUAAUUUUUUUACNNNNNNNNNNNNNNNNNNNNNNNNNNNNNNNNNNNNNNNNNNNNNNNNNNNNNNNNNNNNNNNNNNNNNNNNNNNNNNNNNNNNNNNNNNNNNNNNNNNNNNNNNNNNNNNNNNNNNNNNNNNNNNNNNNNNNNNNNNNNNNNNNNNNNNNNNNNNNNNNNNNNNNNNNNNNNNNNNNNNNNNNNNNNNNNNNNNNNNNNNNNNNNNNNNNNNNNNNNNNNNNNNNNNNNNNNNNNNNNNNNNNNNNNNNNNNNNNNNNNNNNNNNNNNNNNNNNNNNNNNNNNNNNNNNNNNNNNNNNNNNNNNNNNNNNNNNNNNNNNNNNNNNNNNNNNNNNNNNNNNNNNNNNNNNNNNNNNNNNNNNNNNNNNNNNNNNNNNNNNNNNNNNNNNNNNNNNNNNNNNNNNNNNNNNNNNNNNNNNNNNNNNNNNNNNNNNNNNNNNNNNNNNNNNNNNNNNNNNNNNNNNNUUAUAUAUAUAUAUAUAUAUAUAUAUGUAUGUAUCUAAUGUAUGUAUGUAAAUCUUGCAGAUGUGACUGUAAAACGGCUUGCAUUGCACUUGGCGGUUUAAGGUCCCCACAGCUCAAAGGGAAGUGUCAGUUAGUUUGGGGUGACGUUGCCUGUUCAAGCGAGGCUAGCUAGCUCCCAGUUUCUACACGCACUGUUUCUCGUCCAAGCUUCUCCUAUAUAUCACCCCCUCACCCCCUCCAUUUUCCUCACACCCUCAGCUCCCUCCUUCCUCCAUUUUGCUCUAUUUUGGAAGAGGUCUCUCUUCUGCUGUAUCACUCCCAAAAGGUACUGUGUGUGUCUAAGCCCGCCCUUAAUUUGUUUCACUGGUUCAAGCUUAGAAUUCAUCAGAUACAGUAUCAAUGUUUUUCAUCAAACUCAAAACGUUGUAUUUGUGUACUGUUAUGCAGGACAAAAUGUCGAAAGCAGUGAUUUUUCUCUUGGGGCUUCUUACUCUGACCCCAUUGUUUGCUCAUGCUUAUGAUGAUGGAGGUUGGGUUAACGCCCAUGCCACUUUCUAUGGUGGGGGUGAUGCCUCUGGCACUAUGGGUAAGUUCUUUUUUACCACGUAUUUUUGUUAAGUUCUUUUUUACCUUUUACCAUGGAUACUGAUGCCCGAUAUCUCAAUCUUCUUUUGAAGAUCUGCAUGUUAAAUUAACAGCAUGUCCAACUAAUAUUUGCAGGUGGAGCUUGUGGGUAUGGAAACCUAUACAGUCAAGGGUACGGCACAAACACAGCAGCACUAAGCACAGCCUUGUUCAACAAUGGCUUGAGCUGCGGGGCUUGCUUUGAGAUCAAGUGUGUCAAUGACCCCAAAUGGUGCCUUCCAGGCUCUAUUUUGGUCACUGCCACCAAUUUCUGCCCUCCAAACAAUGCACUCCCUAACAACAACGGCGGUUGGUGCAACCCUCCUCAGCACCAUUUCGAUCUCGCCCAGCCCGUCUUCCAGCAUAUUGCUCAAUACAGAGCUGGAAUCGUCCCUGUCUCCUACCGAAGGUGCGCAUUUCGGACUCGUUUUAAAGAUCAGGGCUAUGAAUUCAUCUAUGAAUUUGUUAAAGCUUUUUGAAAUAAUCUACUUCAUAUUUUUAUUGUUUACAAAACUUUUUUCCUUUUCUGCUUGAAUUGAACUAUACUAUUCCUCUCAAAAAAGAAAAAGAAAAAAAGAACUAUACUAUUGAAAGUCCAAAAACUUAGCUAGCUGCCAAAGCAGAUGUAGAACGUCGACAGCUAGCUUUUCAGGUCUUGAAAGUUCCAAUUUCGAUCCAACAAACCCUGACGUGUUUUUGUGAUGAAUCAUUUUGUAUUUUUUGUGUUAUAAACUUCAUCUUUAUGCAUAUGCUUAUAUGUGUGUAGAGUACCUUGCCAAAAGAAGGGUGGAAUAAGGUUCACUAUCAACGGUCACUCAUACUUCAACCUGGUCCUAAUCACAAACGUUGGUGGUGCUGGUGAUGUUCAGUCUGUUUCCAUCAAAGGGUCAAGAACUAAUUGGCAACCCAUGUCUAGGAACUGGGGUCAGAACUGGCAGAGCAACUCUUACCUCGACGGCCAAAGCCUCUCAUUCAAGGUCACAACCAGUGAUGGCCGCACUGUGGUCUCUAACAAUGCUGUUGCGGCCGGAUGGUCUUUCGGACAAACUUUCUCCGGCCUCCAAUUCCCAUAAACCAAACAAAUCAAAGACGAAUAAGAAGAAGAAGAAUAAGAAGCUACAAGUUUUGUUUAGGUUAAUUUAGAGUUGAUUUGUGAGAAGGGCUUAUAUUAAAUGGUCCUUGUCGUCGUUUUGAUAUGCUCUCAUUUGUAAAGGAGCAGACAGAAAUUAAGUUAAAAUUUGGCAGCGGUGGGCAUUAGAGUAUCACCCGCCACAUUUUGUUAGGUUUUGUUAGUUAUUUAGCUAGUGUGCUCUGGUUGCUUUAGGCUUUGUUUAACUUGUCUAUGAAGCUAUUGUAAUUAGCUUUAGUUUCCUGCUGCAUUGUGUGUUUUUCUUAGUCGGAAUUGUUUAAGUGUACGACUUUUUGUUUUAAAUAAAGUCUCCUCUCCCUCUCCAUGAAGUUGAGAACAGGAUCAGUGAUCUUUCUAUCGGUUUAUUGCCGAGCAUAUUUUGUUUGUUUAUGGUAAUUUGUUUCUAAUAUUCUAUAUGAGCUAGAUUGGCCAGAUUGGGCCAUUCCUAGACCUCCAAGGUUUCAAAGGUAGGUGUCUACAUUACCAAAUACCAAGUGGGGAUUUGGGGGAAGAGAAGUCAUAUUGGGCUUGGGUAUCCAAAAGUAGCUAACCAAUUUCAAGUAAGAAGUCCAACGACAUGCCCUAAAGGGUCUCAAAGUAUCAGUGUCAUGAUAUUUUAGAUUUUGUGCACCAAAUAAUACUCGAAAUUAAUCAACCUUAAGGUGUAAAAAACUAAAAAUGACAUUAACAUCAAUAGCAACAGGAGGGAGCGAUCUCUAAAUUACUCUAUUUUGGUUAUGUUAUAAAGAUAAACACUUAAAUUUCUAAAUUUAUGUACUAAAUAUUUUUUCUGUAACCACCAUAAGUAGCCGUGUUAGUAAGAGUUUAGACAUGGAAGCUCCGCACUCAAAUUUGAAUAGUUUCUGGACCUAGAUUCUAGAAAGCUUUGUAUGGAAACAAAUUAUAAAAAUAGGUUCUUAUACAAAUUACUCGACACAUAUGUGUGAUCUUGAAGCAAUUACUUGCUAAUGCCUAGUCUAAGCCAGCCAUUUGUCAUCAACCGAUUGGACUACAUAGAUUCCACGUGGAAGGAGAUUCUAAUCCUCAUAUCCAAAUCAAAUCUUAACACGUAGAAAAAGUGGACCCCGCAACAUCUUUUUCUACCAACAGCAACAAAGUAAUAGAUUUGUGGAUACAACCCUAAGAUAAAAUGAUAAGGCACAAGGGCUUCCAUUGGCCAAUCCAUACCCCACAACCACAUCCUCACCGUCGGAGACAAAAAAUCAGGCCAUCCAACGAUCAGAUUCUAGCAAAGAACCACCACCACAACACUGAGCACUGUCAUUGACUCAUUGACAUGAUAUAAUACAAAGCCAUGAACACAAACACCAUAUUGUACAUUUUGCUUUAGCCAAACCACCUUCCCUCUACCUGAAAAUUCCAUUUUCUUGACCCAAAUUCAGGUAGAAUAGUAUGGCAACCGUCACGACUCAGGCGUCCGCGGUCUACCGGCCACAAAUCACCUCGAAAUCGAGGUUCCUUACCGGCUCUUCCGGCAAGUUAACUAGGGAAGUUGCUUUUAGGCCUGUGACAUCUCCUUCUGCUAGUUCUUUUAAAGUUGAGGCCAAGAAGGGCGAGUGGUUACCUGGCUUGCCAUCACCAGGUUACCUAACUGGCAGGUACUUAAUCAAGCUCAAACAAAUCACAAGACUUACUAUAUGUGUUUAUAAUAUGUGACAUCAGUUCUUACAUUUCUUGGUUUGUCUUUGUGCCUCAGUCUUCCUGGUGACAAUGGGUUUGAUCCUUUGGCACUUGCUGAGGACCCAGAGAACCUGAAAUGGUUUGUCCAAGCUGAGCUUGUGAACGGUCGUUGGGCUAUGUUGGGUGUAGCUGGGAUGCUAUUGCCUGAAGUCUUGACAAGCAUUGGGAUCAUUAACGUUCCAAAAUGGUACGAUGCUGGGAAAGCUGAGUACUUUGCUUCUUCAUCCACCCUGUUUGUGAUCGAGUUCAUCUUGUUCCACUAUGUCGAGAUCAGACGGUGGCAAGACAUCAAGAACCCAGGAAGUGUGAACCAAGACCCCAUCUUUAAGCAAUACAGCUUGCCUCCAAAUGAGGUAGGUUACCCUGGUGGCAUCUUCAACCCUCUCAACUUUGCACCUACUGAGGAGGCCAAGGAGAAGGAAAUCGCCAACGGUAAGUCUUAGAAAACAAGCUUCACGCUCGAUUUUGAUCUGAGGGCUUUGUGUGUGUGAACUAAUUAGGUUUGAACUUUUUGUAUAUGCAGGGAGACUGGCAAUGUUGGCAUUCCUGGGAUUUGUGGUUCAACACAACGUGACUGGCAAAGGACCCUUUGACAACCUAGUGCAGCAUCUUUCUGACCCAUGGCACAACACCAUUGUCCAAACACUAAGGGGCUAGAUCCAUCAAAAGCAAGCAAGAAAUGGAGAAAACCUGUUUUCAUUUGUUUUGUAACAACGAUUUAAUAUGGCUUUUGAGUGAUGAAAUGGGAGUGAGCAUCAAUGUAGACAAGGUUUUACCAGUGUACAGGAACCAUCAUGGCAAUAUGGCAUUAUAUUAUUAUUACCAUUCUCAUUACAAUUCACUAAUUCAUUCUCAAGAUUCUUUUUCCCCCCCCCCAAGUAGCUCAAGACAUGUUGAUGUUGCUUUCAAUUUCUAUAAGUAAUAAUUUACAAUUUGGGAUGCUCCUAAGGUACCAAAGGAGUUCAUAUACAGAUAAACUAUGAUCCUAUAUAUCUUGUACAAUAUAUAUACAUGUUAAACUAAGCCCCAAGGAGUCAAUGAGCCAUUGAGCAUCAACGCUCUUGGAUACCUCUCAAGAUUUCCUUCAUCUGUUUGGUUUGUGAGGCCUGUAAAAUUCUGCAAUGAUUUCCCCCCAGCUACAAUCUCAUGUUUGGUUGCUACAAGAGAACAAAAGUCAUAGAAUGACAAGGUAUCAAUGAAAUGACAAAAUACAAAGAGAACGCAUGAGAUCCACACAUUUGAAAUAUCUCAUUUAGUAUGGGAAAACAGAGCGGAAAAAAAUAAAAAAUAAAUCAAAGGAAUACUUCACCUGCUGGUAAGUAUUCUCAUCGUAUACAGCAAUGCUGCUAGGCCCGGAAGAUGAAAGCCAAGAAGGAUGCUCGUCACCAUACAAAGAUUGAGGCAAUUCGAAGUUGGUACUUGCUUGAUAAUCCACUGAAUUUGUUGGUAAGUUCAUUUCUAAACCAGACUUCAAUUUUUUAUCGUCUGGCACAUUAGGAUUGCAAUAUGAUGGAUACGCAUACUGCUCGCCAAGUUCUGUACUCAAACAAGCAUUUAUGUCAUACUCAUUCAAGCCACAACCUCCUUCCAUACUAGGAAUUUGCCCCAUAUUAUCAAGUUGCCCUGGAUCACCAACCUCAGAUUGUUUGCCAGUGCUAGUACUAGUGCUGGCGCCGCCGCCAAAGUAACUAUUAAAUCGUGCUACAGAGGCAUUAGUAGAGCAGUCCACAUCUCUGUAAAAAGAUGUUAAAGUAAUAAGCACAGUUAGAUCCAUUGAAAGGGAAAAGAAAACCAUCUGCGUACCAAUUGGAGUAAAUUACAAUAUAAUUAGCACUGAACAUUUUCAGGCGUUGGUUCAGCAAGGAAGCAGUAGACUAACCUAUGAGGCAGAAAGGUUGCCUCGUUGGGUAAUAACAAAUGUUGAUUGUCAUUAUUCAAAAUCCAAGGUAUAGGUUGAGUUUCUUGCAUACUACCCACAAUUAAAGAUGAAGGUAUCCCGUUUUGAAACUGCGAUGCAACAAAGUCAUUUUCAGAUUUCCUCAAUGUGUGAAAGAGGCAUUCUGCAUCAGCUAAAGCAUUUGUUACCUGGCUUGUGCAAUUCAGUGAAGCUAGUUGAUGUUUUUCAAAGUUUUCCUGACAAAAGAUGUAUCCAGCAUGUUAGAAUGAUAAGGAUCUAUUAUGGGCGUCUCAGAAAUUAGCAGUGGCCACCCUCUGGCUCAACAUUUUUAGGUGGUUUGGGUGCAUCACCAAAGCUUAAACUCACCAUGACAACAACCAAUCUAAGAAAAAUAUGCUCUCUGAUAAACUAAACUAGUUAAUGUCUUCCACAGUACAGACGUUAGUAAAUAGUGGGCAAUUCUUGUAACAGAAAAAGAGAAUGAUACCUUGUGCAGACGUGUUCGCCUUAUUGAUUCGUUAAGCAUGUCUUCCAUCUGCCUUAGCUGUUCUACAUUGUCAACCUUCUCUGGAUUACUCCAAAAGCUGAAGAGGUGGAAAAACUAGCAUAUGAAUUAUAUGACACCAAUCUCCAAUUUUAACGCAUAUAUCUCACUGCCCAAUAGGGGUUUUUUGUUUUGUUUUACACUGCCCAAUAGGGUAUAGUUACUCCUCCAUACAGUUGAUCAGAGUCUGUCUAGAGUCCACAAAAUCAGCUCACCUCCAAUCCAACUAACUUGUCUAAGGCUUUUAAACAACAACUUCAAAACAAAUGAUGCCAUAUCUAUAAUAUGAGUCAUGAACACAUGACCUAAAUUGGAACUGAAAUGUAAUUUUGCAGACAAUUUCUUUUUCCUCUUCCUUUGGUCAAGUAUUGAUUCGAUACCACAAAUGACACAUUCUAAAACACAUUUUAUAAGAUGCAUUCUUAAUAUGACCUUCAAGACCAAAAGAAAAGGCAAUACUUGAACAACCAAAAGCUCCAAAGGUGCACCUCAGUCUCUUAUGCAGUUCCGUGAGUUGGCUUUGCAUUUCUCUUGCAUGAUUUGUCAGAUCCUGCCAAUGAAAAUUAUACCAGAAUACAUGAGUUUUCAUGAACAACAACUGGAAAAAAUGAAAUAUGUUAAUGCUGAUAAACGAUAUAUACCUCAACUGUCUGUGUGCUGCAAGAAACAACAGAAGGGAAACAGUUAAGAAAAAAACCGAGAGUAAAAGGAAACGGCAGAUUUGAAAAUAUAUUGACAUACCUGGAACCCACAAACUCUUGUACAUUUACAUCGUGGUCUAACUUCUUAAAAGUUUUCUUCAGUACCUAUAUCCUCAAAGAGAACACCAAAAUGCAAGUAUAAUCGGAUUAAAAGACAGCAUAGUUUCUCUUUGUUUAAUGUAACCAAAGCCAGAGAGACAUUUGUCCACUAUAUAGGACAGUCUUACCUCAAGGCUCUCCAAUUUCCUGUUCCAGUGAAAUGGAAAAGAAGUUAGCUGUAAUGCCAUCCAAAUUCAAUCAAGCUAAGGAGAUUCCAAAUUCAAUGCAAGUAUUUCAGUACCUUUUCGCCCUCUCCUGUGGAGUUAAGUGGGCAAACUUUGCAAUAAUGUCUUCAAAAUUGCUGAGAAAGUCAAGAAAUAACCAACAACGAAAAAACGCUACAUUAGCAUACAAUAUGGAAAAAGCAAUAAUCAGACUCCAAUUCCGGCCUCAAUUUAGUCUAGUUACGUUGAAUUUGCAUCGAAAAAAAGACAAAAAAGCUCAAUCUAUGGCCUCAACAUUUUGCUUUCAACAAUACCUAUAGUACCAAUGCAUUAUAAAUCACCAGAACAAUGUAUCAAUUGAUUGUAUACUUGGUAGCAUACUAUACCUGCGCUCCCCUUGGAACAAUGUAGGCCUUCCAGUCGGGGAAAACAUAAGAAGUGUAAUGUCCACAUCACACAAGAUUGACAAUUCCUUGGCCUUCUUCAAGAUGCCAUUCCUCCUUUUUGAAUAAGUAACCUGCCGAUUGCCACUGCUCUCCAAUUUCUUUAUCUUUAACUUAACCCUUCCCAUCCUACAAAUCCAUUAACCAAAACCCUUAUGAAACACCAAAGAUUGAAACCCCUCAAUGCCUAGAAAAUGCAGAUAAACUCACUUUAGCUAUGUCACAAAUACACAGUUCUCCAAAUGAAGCUUUCAUCCCAAUUGCACCAGCACUCGACAACCAUAAAUGAACCCUCUUUCGAAUUUCUGUCCUAACCCAAAAAGGUAAAACAAUCCCAGAAAGAUGAUCACAGAUUUCUAAAAGACCCAGAUGGGAAAAACACAAAAGGAAGAAGCUUUACAAACACUCACAAAGGAAAGAUUGAAUCUUGAAAAAAAUGGUAAAAAGAAAACUCAAUGGCAAACCCAGAAAGAGUAAUAGUCAAACAAGAUUGAAGGGAAAGAAUCAAAGAAAUGGGUAUGGAGCUUUUAGCUUACAAAUUUGAGCACGACAGGUCCAGCUAUGAUUUCGGUCGUGAAAAUGAGCAAAACCAACCAGCAGAAAUUUACUGCAGAGAGAGAAACAGAGUGAAGGAGGGAGAGAAAGAAAAUGAACGGUGCGAUUUGGCAAAGAAGGUUAGACAUGCAUGGCUUUUAGCACCGAAGACAAAAUCUUGGGCUACGGUUUUGAAGAGCUUCUCCGCCAAGAAAGCCUACAUGGCCUUCUUUGCGGUAACAUUACCGGGUCCAGUGGCAUUUUCUUUUCUUUUUUUAAAUUUAAAUAGGAGAUAAAAAAUCGAAUUUGUGACCUCUACCGACAUAUAUGAUCUAAUUUUAAUAGAAAAUUUCAUAAAAGUUCUCUUUUUAAUAUUUUUUCUUACAUAAGUUCACCUUAACAAUUUUAUCCAUAUAAGUCUACUUUUAGGACCAAACCCAUCACCUAUUUUUUUCGUUCUACCUAAAGUACCCUCAGCUAUAUCUCAACCGCAUCCAAUUCGUCUCUCUUUCAUCGNNNNNNNNNNNNNNNNNNNNNNNNNNNNNNNNNNCUCUCUCUCUCUCUCUCUCUCUCUCUCUCUCUCUCUCUCUCUCUCUCUCUCUCUCUCUCUCUCUCUCUCUCUCUCUCUCUCUCUCUCUCUCUCUCUGUGCAAAUGGGAGCUUCAAAACCAGCGAUGAGAUGAUCCUCAUCUGAAAACCAGAUAUCUCCGGCGUCGAUCUGCUUCUCCGACGACGAUGACGACGCCUCGACCUCGACCUCGACGCUGCCGGCCAACGAUGACACCUCGACCUUGACGCUGCCAACUCGACGUUGACGCCUCGACUGCGUCUAAUUCCAUCAACGACGACUUCUAAUUCUGCCUCAACCUCGGCGUCUUCUGAUUUGACCUUGACGUGUUCUGAUUCGACCUCGACGCCGCCGGCCCGACGACGACGACUCCGGAUCGACGAUGACGCCUUUUGAUUUGAUCCGCUCAACCAUCUAGCGCCUUCACCUCUGAUGAAAUUGACUAGACCUACCUCUAGAUCCGAUCCAGAUAAACCCGUCAUUGCUGGCAUCAACGGUGUUGGGAAAUGAAGGCUCUACCGAGAAUGGAACCAUCCUCUUGACAUGCUCAACGCUUAACAAGCUCACAAUUGACUGGUUAUGGUUAUGAUAGUAUAUUUCCAACACAGUAGUAGUAUAUUUUUGUUGUGAUAGUGUAUUUUUGANNNNNNNNNNNNNNNNNNNNCUGGUGACAGUUAGUUUUUUUUGUUAUCGGUAAUAUCUUUUAUUGUCAGUGGUAGUAGUUUUCUUUGCUGGCGGUAGUAGCUUUCUUUGCUAUCGGUAGUAGCUUUCUUUGCUGGUAACAGUAGUUUUUUUUGCUAUCGGUAGUAUAUUUUGUUGUCAGUGAUAGUAGCUUUCUUUGUCGGCGGUAGUAUCUUUUGAUAUCAGUGGUAGUAGCUUUUGUGGUCGUUAGAAUUGUCAUAGAUGGUCGACCGGAAAGUUCGCCGGAGGUCGGCAGGAAAGUUUGUCGGAGGUCUACCGGAGACCUCGCCGGAGGUCAGCCGGAGACUAUUUGUGGUUGUUGACUUUUUACAUUAGUGGCAUUUUUGUAAAUAUAAGAGAAAAUCUAAUUUUUUUUGUUGGAUGACAGUCUGUAAUUUUGUUGAACUUUAAUAUCUAAUAUAAUACUCUAUUUAGACUUGGGGUGGACUUAUGUGGGUAAAAAUGUUUAGGUGGACCUAUAUAGGAGAAAAUGUCUUUAACUGGACUUCUAUGUAAUUGGCCCUAAUUUUAACCGACAAAUGAUUGUAAUCUCUAUUGCCACAUAUGAUUUGGUAUGAUUGUGAUAGAGAUAUAUGAUCUAAUUUUAACCGACAAAUGAUCGUGAUCUCUAUCGCCACAUAUGACUUGGUAUGAUUGUGAUCUAUAUCGACACAUAUGAUUUGGUUUUGCCACAUGAUUUCGUAUGAUUGAGAUCUCUAUCGACACAUAUGAUUUGGUUUUGCGAUGUUGUUAGGUGUUGUUUGUUUCUCAUUGGAAAAUGUAGAAUUGAACACUUCAAGAACAAAUGCUGAAAUGGAAUUUGGAUUUUACUGAUAUCCAAAAUAUACAACAAUUGUUUGGAUUGAGGGAAUAGGAUUACACUUGGUGACAAGUUGAAGGGUGGCAUCACUUGGAUAGCUCCCUAAAGAGUUUAUGAAUAAAGAAUUUAGAAUUUCAUAUUACAUUACAAGGACGACUGAGAGAGAGAGCUCGCGGAUUGAGAGGCUACAGCUGCUUCUUCCAACUCCUGCCUUGUCAAUAGUCUUGUUGAGGGCACAAACUUUGAGUUGGUUUCAAAUGGGUCUGUAUGUUCAGAUUCUACUGAGAAUUCAGCACUGAUUGCCUCGACAGUUUUCUGGAUGAAAACUGAUCUUGGCACGUAGUCCUUCAUGCGGCAUACAAAUUCCAAAUGAUCCCUAGCCUGCAAAGGAAUAAGAUGGAUUUAGAUAUCAAAGUACUAGUCAUGAGUCUUUAACUAGUAGUCAUCUGAUAGAUUAAAUAAGCUGUUAAACACAGGUUGCACCCAAUUCAAAUUUGAAUUGUGACUGAGGAAUACAGAAAAUCAUCAUUUCAUGAGGCUAACACAGUGGUGGUUUAAAAAAUCAUUACAUCAACGAACUACCUUUUUAUGAAGAAAAUGAGAGCAACAUUAACCCCUUCUGAGUUCAUUUGAGGACAAUCAUCAAUUAUUUUGGUUUCAUUCAAAUUUUAAUUCUUGCCAAAUUUGUUCAUUAACACAAGUUUCUCUUGUAUGUUAGCAAUUCGUAACCCUAUUCAUAAUGUAUGUUCAAUGUUUUAAAUUAACUGUUAGUCUGUUACUUCUAUUGAGGAAGUGUCCCAAAGUUUGAUCCUAAAAACUUGAAAGACUAAAGAAAUCAACAAAGAUCACAAAGCACUAAAAACUAAUAAGAUGACACAAGCAAAUAGCCUACUAAUCGAUAUUUAGGAACCCGUUUUGGAUGCUUCAGGUAUGCCAUGUUUCUCUCCUCAUAGUCCCAUAGGAAGGAUGUGUGGUGGAUCCACCGAUCUUUCGUAAUACAUUGAGCAUUCCCACCAAACUUGCGAUUACCAAAUACAUAAUCUGGAAUCAGAUAAAACCAAGUAUGCUGUUAGUACAUGCUUCAAUUCCUCAAGAAUAUUAGUGAAGUAAGAGUAUCCCGUGGUGCCAGUAACAUAAACUCCAUAUGAACUAUGAAGUAAUAGCCCCAAGCAUAAAAUUAAACUUGAUGCUACAUAAAAAGAUAUAAUGAUGAACUUUAAGUGAAACAAGCAAGAUCUAAAGAUGGAUGAACAAAGAAAAAGAAGCGGUUGAACACGUCGAAUUGCCAAAUAUACAAUCCUACAUACCUAAGCACCUUAUUAGGAAUAAUGCAAAAGAGUUCAUUAAGUACCAUUUUCAAGAAGGUAAAAAUCACCAAAUCUUUUGAACACUCUGUUGUACAAUUGGCUACUCCAAGACAUUAUAGGUCGCGGAUAUAGUUUCAAGCCAGGAACAGCAUCCCUGUUGCAUAUGAAAGUGACAAAUAUGGUGCCAUGAUCAACUGCAACUGUGCCUCCACCAGUAUACCUUUUAAUGACAGGAACCUGAUCUCGUAACACCAGAUCAAUGUCUAGAAGCUCUGCAUGUUUUCUACGCAGAACAUGGAACUCUUCAUAAAUCCCAGUACCAAAAAAAUACACAAAUUAAUGCAAACAUGCUCAAACAAGAAUGAAUAUGAAGCUCAUCUUACCCUGAAAUACCCAUGACAAUAUUACGAUCAUUUGUGCCAUCAUUUAUAAUGCACCAAUUAUCAGACGAGGUUCGCAGCAGCCGCUCCUCUAAAUGAAGCUGCUGCAGAAUGGGAGUUCCUUUUAAUCUGACAAGGUUCAUCAAUGGAAGCCCAACAUUUCUUUGAGGUAUAGCCAUCCAAAUUCACCAACUACAACAAAAGACACAAAAAAACCCAUCAUAACACAGAACUCUACUAAUGCACUCCAUUAAGGGUCUAAUUACAUCACCAAUGCAGCUAAUUGUACUUGCAUCAUCAUCAUUUAUCAAUUCAUUGUUUUCCUUUUCCACAAGAAACCAAUCUUUGAAAGAAUAAUGUAAGAGAAACAAAGACCCAGUAAAGAUGUGAACUUUAAUUUUGGGUUUGGAAAGAGAAGUAAUAUUCACCUGUUUUUGGUCGUCGUUCACUGAAACUCUGAUGGGUCGAGGAAGAUAAAGCCGGGGAUUGUAAAGUCACGACGUCGGGAAGCUUUGGUUUGUGGUGGAGAAUCUAUUAACUUUAAAGGACGACAUUUGGGCCAGCGAGCACAGCAGCCUCUCCUGAUACCAUCACAGCACAGAAUUGAAAAGGCCCGUAGGAGAUGAGGUUCAAGAGCAACUCAUUUUUGUAUUUUAGGGGAUCAAAAUGUUAAUAUUUGUCUUAAGGGUUGUACUUGUAUUUCUAUGAUGUUUUAAUGCUAUGGAUUUCAAAAGUUGCCGAAGCAAUUUAUAAAGCGCAGGCUGAAACAGGUGAAAUCAAAGGGCAUUAUUUGAAUGCUACUGUUUAGAAGUGAUGAAAUGAUGAAAUUUAGAUAUCUAUCGAUUGAAAUUCUGUUAAUUGAAAUUUUUAUUGUUUGGUUAUGUAUUUGAGAUUUGAAGUGUGUGAUAGCUUAAGAAAAUUAAAAAGAAAUAUAAAAAAUAAAAUUUUAAAAAGCCUUGUUCUGGAAAUGAAAAUUGAAUCCUGCAAUAAAAAUUUAUAAAUGACACCUAUUUUUGGUGGAAUUCAAGUGAGGAAUUUAAUCAAUGAAUUCCUUUUUUUUCAAUUCCAUAGUAGUGCGUUUGGAUGCGGGUGAAUUCCUAGGAAUUUAAUUAAAAAUAAAGAAUUUUUAAUUUCUUAGAACUGUUUCCCCCUUUUAGAUUCUUAUCAUGUGGAAUUAGAAAUUUUCACGGGAAAAUAAUCGUGGAAUUUGAGCGUUUAAAUUCCCGACUUAAAUUCCUUACAAAAUAGGUGUCAUUUAUCAAUUUAACUAAGGUUAGUCUAAGUACAAAUUUUUGUCAUUUUAAAACUCUACAUCAUAAAAUCCAAACAAUGGAAUUCUCGAUUAAUAGAAUUAAAUUUAUGNNNNNNNNNNNNNNNNNNNNUNUCUNUCUCUCUCUCUCUCUCUCUCUCUCUCUCUCUCUCUCUCUCUCUCUAGACAUGUCUUCUCUAUAAAAGUUAGCUUUUUAAAAUCUAUGUGAAUCUAGAAGACUUUGUAAAUCUGUAUAGUCUAAGAAUUCUUUUUGAAUCCAAGAAUGAUAAAACAAAUAAAAAAAGGGUCGCAGAAAUUUGAAUACAAUCAAUUCUAGCAUAUUCUGUCACAUCCCGACCUUUAAAUUUUUACCUUGUUUACUAGCUUGGUAUUAAUAAAAAUUUUACCGUCUCCGUCAAUAAGUUAUGGUUUAAUUGGUCCCUAAAGGGGUUUUGAGGGACGAUUAUUUCGGAGAAUUAUUCGUAGGAGAAAAAUAUGACGACGGUAAAAAUGGUAAAUUUUAGCUAAUAAAAGGUAAUUUUUAUUAGGGUAUUAUUUUUCGGGGUGUUUUAUUUUGGAGUAGGUGUGGGUAUAUAGGUGUUGGACCGGUUUGUGUGAGGCCCAAACCUAUCUCCCUCUCUUUCGUCUCUCUCUUCUCUCCCAAUUUCCCUUCCCCGAGCUCUCUCUCCCCGUUGGACUUCUCGCCGUCCGGCCACCAACCGCCGCCGCACCGGUCCCGUUCGGUCGGCCAUCAACUCAGCCACCUCCCUGGAUCGGUGACAGCCCCCCUAGCGCCGCCGUGAGGAAGAUAUCAGGCCCGAGAGGUCCGAUUGAGUUAAGCCCUCCGUCGCCGGAACUCCCUCCUCCGGCCGCCAAAGCCAGCGAUCCUUGGCUCGUUUUGUAGCCCUCCUCCCGUGCAGCAACCCUUCCAAAUGGCUCACUCUCUCUUGAGCUAGGUAAGGAGAAAUGUGGAGUUGAAUUUUCUAGGGCUUCUAGGAUGUUUUUGCUCGAUUGACCUAAUUAGGCUUGAAAUUGAUGUUUGUGCUAGUUAGGAAUGUUGUAGAGGGAGUUGAGAGGAAGAUGCUGUCAAAAAUUGAUAAGCAUUGGAGGUCGUCGGAGUCGGCUUUCGGCCGCCGCUGUGGGGGAGAUUUUUAUGGUUUUAAAUGUGGAAUAUUUAGGGGAGUUUAUUGUUAUGAAUUAUGGAAUUUUUGGAUGAGUUUUAAAUAGGUUUGUGAAUUUCCGAAGUUUUGUAAUUUCGACGGAUUAAUAAGGUAGAAUCCGACCGUUGGAUUAAAGUCGUAUAAUUUGUGGAAGGGUGUAGUUAAGGCUGCUGGUUUUAGUAUUGAGGUGUGGACCGUAUCGAAGUUAGGCAAUGAUGAGCGUGAGUAUGACUCUCGGUUAAUUUUGCCUAUUUUGUUUAAAUAUUGAAUUUUUAGUUGGGAAAUUAAUUAUAUAUAUUUGUGCCAGAGUUUGAGGAAACCUCACUGGAGUGGCGAUUUGGAUUUCGUCGGGCUUAUGCCUAGAGUUGUGAGUGGACCUUUGUUUUAAUUGAAAAGCAUGCGAUGAAUUAUUUUGUUGAUCAUUUAUUUCUUUUAAUGAGACUUAUUGAUUUCUCGGUUAUUUAGCAAUUUUUCCUUUGGAGAGUUCUGAAAAUGAGAUUUUCGGUGGAUAUGUUUAUUGGAUGUUAUGAGUAUAGUAUGUAUAUAAAUGCUAGCUAGCCAUACGUGCUUGGUCUGUCAUAAUGAGGUAAAAUAUCAUUAUGGCGUGACGUGAGUGUUAGACACAAGCGUCAUAGCUCUAUAUGAAAACUACGUUCUUUUCUGGUUUAUUUAGGUUUUCAUAUAGGGAGUCCACACGUAUAUAUACACCGUCCUCUUCGGUUAUAAUGAGGAAAAAAUUUCAUUAUGGCGCGACGUGAGCGUUAGACGCAAACGUCGUAGCCUUGUAUGAAUUUCUAUUUUUCUAAUUUGUUCAUAGAAUUCAUACAAGGAGUCUGACGAGUGUAAAUACAUACACAUAUAUGUUUAUAUAUAGUUUAGCCUGAGAGACUCCAUUUUAUUUGAGUUGGUGACUAGCCAGAGCUAGUCGUGAAAUUGUCAGUUUAUGAGUUAAGCGCUUUUGAGAGGUCGCAUGCAGUAUAAUUUCUUUGGAAAUUAAAAUGGGAAUGCAUAAAUAUUUUUUUAUUAAUUUAUUUUUGUCCACUCACUCUAACGUUUUCAAAUGUUUUGCCCUAUGCCUUUCGUUUUAAAAAUGCCCAGCUUGCAGGUUAGUUUAGUUGAGGUCGGGCGUACAUGGAGAUGAGACAUAGUUAUCAUAUAGCUUCCGCUUAUUAAUUUAUUAUGUUUCAUUUCUUCUUAUUAGAGUUGCUCUGAACUUAUAUAGGGUUGGAUAUGAGAUUUGUUUAGAUUAGUAAUUAAUUUGGGUGGUGUUGUGAUUUGGGGAGCACGAAGGCUCCAGGAGUUUAAGGUUGGAUUUAAAUUUUCAGAAGUGUUUGCAGCUUUUUAUUAGGAAGGGUUGUCCAUUUUCAAGGGAGGUUAUGCCGAAUUUUCGAUAAACUUUCCUUGGAGGUGGUCCCCGCAGGAUUUACUUUGGGUUUCAGAGUGAAAUUCGGGGUGGGUCCUGACAUAUUCCCUAUUUUACGGUAAUCUUAAAAAAAUCUUUAUAUUUCUUCCUUAGAAUUCGAAGAUUUGCCGUAAGUUUAGGAAAUGUCGUUUUUUCCUCUUCACAUUCUCUAUUUUAGAAAUAGUUAUAGAGAAUCUGUUUGUAACGAAAAGAACUUAUUUUCUUGAAAAACUCAAAUAUGGAGUUAGAAACAAAUUUGUUUAAGAAUAACCUUUUGAUGUGUUCAUCCAAACACAUAGUGGAUUCUUAACUGUCAAGCAAGUUGCUCAAAUUUUAAACAGUAACAAACUUAUAAAUCCUUGCAUGCAAAUAGAUUUGCUAAAUUCGAAAAUUCUAUAUUUCUGUAAGUAGGAUUGUUACUUACAGUGUCACAUUACACUGAUUCAUGUGCUUAUAAAUUUGAUUUGCCAAAACAAACAAACAAAAAAUGGAUUUGGUAUUCUCGUUUUCAUAAGUAAGAAGUACUAAGUUUCACUUCUUUUUGUUGGGAACUAAUCUAGUCUUCCUAAGUAUGAUAUCAACAACAACUGUGAUAUCAUCAAUUUUUCCUCCUACAUGAUUGCGGUGUUUGUCCUAGGACUUGUAUGCAACACUUGCAAAAGGGGAAUCACAGUGUUUGUCCUUGGACUUGUAUGCAGCAAAUCUUCCUAUCCUCUCUGCUAGCUCCUCUGGUUUUUCGGUCUUAAAAUCACGAUGAUUCAUGAUAUAUCCAAUCUCAUACGGGAACACAUUGUCAAACAACCCAUCAGUUGCAACUACUAUGACAUCUUCGGCUUCUAUCAGAUCGAUAAUCUCGAUCUCAUCCGCCAAGUCAGGAUCGUCGCUUCUUUUUCCAUUUCCUAAUUGGUAUGGGACAUUAAAACCUUUCCGCAGAGGUGGAGAGACUGACCGCGUAACUCGUAACUAGAGUUGUGAUUUUUCCUGAACACCAUAAAACCGCUGUCCCCAAUGUUCGCAACAUGCAAGGUUGCCUUGGCGGAGGAUCUUACUGAUCCAUGUUUGGUGUUCUUGAGAGUCAUAAUGCAAGCCGUGGAGGAUCCGAGUUUAAUGUGUUUGGUGUUGAUGUAAGCUUCCUCCAAUACUUUUAUCGGGUUGAUUUCUUGUCCAGAUUUUUGGUGAUUGUGGAUAGCCUUUUCGGAGUUGCGCAUGAGCUCCCGGGAGUACUCACCGGCAUCUACUCCCUUUGAUGCCCAACUACCAACACCGUCCACCACCCCAAUGGUCUGCUCUUCUGCAAAGAUGAAGUGAGCAUCCUCACCUUUUUUCGGUAAGUAGUAUGCGCCCAAGUCCAUCUUCAACACCACCUUGAAGUCUUAGAUACCGAUCAUACCAUCUUAGUAUCUUCAUCUUCGAGUAUACCCAUAAUCCCUUCACUUUGUCCAUAUUCUUCAUCUUGGCUAGCUAGCUAAGCUGUGUUUGUAUCCUAAUUCACCCAGUUUGCCUAGAGCUUUUAUAUAUUUUUGUUGUAUAUUGUUUUUUUUUUUGUUACAGAAGGGACCUAAAAGGCCCAAACAAAGAGGAAAAACAAAACAGCAAAACUACAAGCUAGAGGCUAGAGCAACAGCCAGUCUUUCUUGCUCUAGUAACACCAGCAAGGUCAUCAAGAACAGCCUGAAUAGCAUGAGCAGGCACAACAUCAAAGGAGAUUAAGCCAAGAUCAUGAUUGAUACUAUUUUUAGCCAAGGCAUCAGCCACCAUAUUGCAUUCUCUGAAAAUAUGCUUGAUAUUAACAUUCAGCAACUUAGACAUCAUCACAGAGCAGCUGUCCAGGAGAGAGCCAAAGGGGUGGACACCAGUAUCAGACUUCAACAUAAGCUGGACAAGGAGAGCAGAGUCCGAUUCAAUUUCCAAGUUAACAAUGUUAUGCAUAGCCACCAUUCUUAAGCCAAAGAACAGGCCCCAAGCCUCAGCAUCCAAGACCUCACCAGUGCCAAGGUUAACCUGAAAACCAUCAAUCCAGAUACCAAGAUGAUCCCUUAACACACCACCAGCACCAAUGCAGCCAGAACUGAAAGAUCUAGAUCCAUCAAUAUUCAGCUUAUAAAAAUUUUCAGGGGGCUUACACCAAGAAAACAUGGUGUAACUGAACAUAGACUGCAUAGAAGCUUUUGACUGAGCACUGGACCACUCAUCAACAUAGUUCCAAAUAACUUUAUUAGGGCAGGCAGGCAAGAUGAAAGCAGGGUCAAAAAUAACCUUAUUUCUCCACUUCCAAAUAAACCAACAAACAAAGACAAACAAAUUGCACCACUGAAUAUUGUUUUUGAUGACAACAUGACAAUGAAACUGAGCACAUAUCCAACCAUUCCAAUCCAAAGAGAAAGAAUUAGUAAUGGAACCUGGACUAAGGAUAGAGUUCCAAAUAGCUUGAGAUCUUGGACAGUCUCUUAGUAAAUGCAAAAGGGUUUCAUCAGCAUUUUUGCAAAUAGGACAACUAGCAAUAGUAGAGAAACCUCUUCUGACUCUUUGCACAUUAGUAAGGAUUUUCUGAUGAAGAACAUACCACAUGAAGGUUUUCAACUUAGGAGGACAAUUUAACUUCCAAAGAUGAGUCCACAAGGGAUUUGAAACCCCAGCAGAGUCAAAGAAAGAAUUAUAGGCUGAUUUAACAGAAAAUUUACCAUUAGCUGUGGCAUUCCAAAUCAACUUAUCAUGACCACUAACACCAAACCCAGAAGGGACACUGAUAAUCUGCAUAACAACAUGAUCAGGAAGCACAGAUUUGAGAAGAGGGAUGUUCCAACCAGUAUCACACCAGAACUCUUUAAUGGUAGCAUUCAUGUCAAUAAUCACAUGAGGAAGGGAAAAAUGGAAAAGGGUUUUACCAUCACCCACAAGUCACACCAGAACUUGAUUUUAGCACCAUCACCAAUUCUCCACUAAAGAUUCCUUCUCAUCAGCUCAACACCAUGCACAAUACCCUCUCCAAGUAUUAGAACAAUCAGCAGGAGCUAUAGAAUUAGAACUUUCAAUGCAACAAUCUUGCAAAUAUUUCUUCCUAUAAAUAUCAGCCCAUAAACCAGGAUCAUUUUGAAAAAUUCUCCAACUGGCCUUAGCGAGCAUGGCCUGGUUCAUAUCAGCAGUUUUCUUUAAUCCAAGACCCCCACGAUGAUAUUUUUGUUAUAUAUGUUGCCCUGCGUUCAAGUCUUUCUUAAAUAUAAAAAAGUAUAAAGAUAUACAUUAUGGAAGUAAAUGCAUAAUAUCCUAAUCCUUUUUGCUUAUAGGAAACUCUCCUUAAGUGAACCGAACACAAUUUAAUUCCAAUAAGAGGUUUCCUUGAAGUCUUGGGAGUAGAUCAAGUUACAUCAUAACUAGUCAUCUUUUGAGCAAGCGCUUCUAACUGCCAACUUAAACAUUACAAGUUUGCAAUGACAGGAAUCAAGGUUUAUUGUAAAGAAAAUGCAGAAAGCAAUAAAAGAGAGGGAGAAAGCUUUGGAGGCUACAUUGUGUCUAUCUUGAUUGAGAGAUAAUGAGGUUACAACAAUACAUAUAGGACUUAGAAUAUAAAAUGACGUAAAUGCCCUUGCGAUUUAAUUGUCAUAAACCUAACAUAUAGUUAACACCCCCCCCCCCCCCCCCCCCCCCCCCUCCCAACCAUAUGGUUGGGAACAAGCAUAAUGGUUGCCUGCAAACUACACAGAUAUAGCCCAAAAAAUACAAGAAAACACCCAAUUCAAUAACCCAAGAACUUGAUAUGAUAAGAUCAACUAGCUUCCAUCUUGACUUGCAGCAGAAUUGGUAUAAGAGGAGAGGCAGCUUGCUGGAAAAAAACCUCAAAGUUCUCAUGGUGAAAGCAACGGCAGUAAGGCAGCAAUAUAUAAAACAACCUGAGCAGCAAGUGAUAGAAAACUGAAAAUUUCUUCAUAUUUGACUGAAAACUGAUAUGAAUACAAACUGAAAACUGCAUAUGACUGCUAACAACUUUCUGAUAUUCAUUUGCUCACUACCAGCAACCUCACGAAAUUUGCCUUUAUCUGAAACUGAAACUACAUUUGCAUUCCAGCAGCUCAAUAUCAUCAACUUCGGCCUCUCUCUAAAACCAUCUGCAAUUUUCUCAUUCAUUCACAUAAAACAGCAGCCCAUUACUUGGAAACCAUCAACAUAAUAGCAACAUGCAGAUCCUCUCAACUCCUCUCUAUUUUGCAUAAGAAGAUCAAUGUAACAUCCCUUCACCAUUCAAGCUCUUAUAGCAGCAAUAUGACCAUUACACAUUAUACAUAGCAGAUAUGCAGCAAUCAUGGAACCAUCUCUCAAAACGAGCACAACUUGCACACAAGUCAUAUAUUCAGACCAUAAUCUAACCCAUCAAGCCAAUUCACCAGUCCAAAAACAAAUUAUAAACUGCUUCGUCACCUUUUCUUUUGGUUGACGGCAAACAAACUAUGAUAAGAAAAAUUAAACUGGAAAACUGAUGAAUUGAUCAUAACAACCCAGACUAGAGAGAAAAUCCACGACUCAAGUGAAAGAGAUGCCAAUCUGACAAACAGUACCAACUUUGCUGUAUAUACUGUAUACUAUCAUCAACUCUCAAUUCUUCUUUGCACAGUCCAUAUCCAAUUCUAAAAAGACUCUCCCAAAGUUGCACAGACCGGCAAAAGAACCCACAGAAUCAAUCCAUAACCCAACUUGAUAAGCUAGAAUCACCAAACCAUAAAAGGAAUAUAAAUUUCUUCAAUCUUAAACUUCAAACUUUGAUAAAAAUAAAAAUGGCAAACUGACAACUACUAGCAGAACAACCGAGACUAAAGAUCGAUCAAUUCCACGAUUCAAAUGAUAGAGAUGAUGAAUCGGAGAGAUAUUACCAAAUUUUCGGAAGAAACUGAUGCUAGAGAGGAGAGAGGCAGUUGAAACACAAUUGCAGAAUCCCAAAUCCAUACGACAAGACGACGACAUCGAAUGGAAAGUUUCCAGUCGCCGGAGAGAACAAGAACGUCUCCAGGAGGGAAUCGAUUCAAGAUUGGGGUUACGGUUUUGAAAUUGGGGAUCUGAAAUUGAAAGGAACUUGAAAAUGCGAAAGCAACUACGUAUCGAUAAACACAGAAGCCACAAGGUACCGGAUCAGAUACCAUGGGCUCUGAUACCAUGACAGGAAUCAAGGUUUAUUGUAAAGAAAAUGCAGAAAGCAAUAAAAGAGAGGGAAAAAGCUUUGGAGGCUACAUCGUGUCUAUCUUGAUCGAGAGAUAAUGAGGUUACAACAAUACAUAUAGUACUUAGAAUAUAGAAUGACGUAAAUGCCUUUGCGAUUUAAUUGUCAUAAACCUAACAUAUAGUUAACAUGCAACAUAGCUAAUCUUGAUCAGAAGAUUUCAAUCAAUUGCUUGCUAAUCUAUUUUUUCUUGGGUCGAAAUUGAACGGCUGAUCAGUUUUGGUCUUG
rnacentral:lncRNA from 1 species